rnacentral:lncRNA from 1 species
UAAAAAUAGAAUGACUCAUCAUCAUACAAAAAAGGAGAGUUGUUUAGUUGGAUCAAAAUCUAUGGACCUCAAUAAUAAACAAAAUAUUGAGAAUUAAAUCUAAUAAUUAAGUGUGUAAUGAUCCUAUAUCUAAUUAUCUCUACAAAAUUUCUUGCAUCAAUUCAUCGUUUAAGUAGAUGUUAACGAAACUAAUGGUAUAAUAAAAUAAAAAUGUUUUGUUCACUAACCAUGUGUAAGCAUGGACUCUUUCAUUAUCAUUCUUAAUUUUUUGAAUACAUUCGAUAUCGUCUCUUCUUAAUUUUUUCGAAAGAUAAAAAUUGAGCCAAGUGAACAGUGAAAUUGCCGACAUUCUUGAACCUGAUGCAGCCUAACUCGGAGAGUAAAAGAGCCAAGAGAGCACUGGUAGUAGUAGAGUUGUAAUUGGUCCAUGCCACUGUGAUCUUUCACUAUAUGCCAAGUACGAGUAUUUGUAACGCAGACAAGUGUUACGUCUCUGGGCAUAUCAUGCAUGAACGUGUUGCUUCUUGAUUGGCCUGAUUACAUCAAUCUCUCUCGAUUCUCUCUCUCAUCUUUUUAGAAAAGGGUAUGUUAUCCACACACUUAUUUUUACUUCAUAUACAUCCUCUUAAUUUGCAAAUAUCAACUGAAUUAAGAAAGAUCAAAUGAUAAAAAUUAACAAGUUAUAUGAGAAAUGAAAAAAAAAUGUCGAUAGCACAUCCAAAAACCCAAACCAAAUCAUCCCAUCUCUACGAGUUGUCCAAGCCAUAGCCAUAUUACUUCAUAGUUUGUGAGCCCACCUUCCACAAAUCUAUAUUUAUUAGCCUUCUUCGUUAGAUCUGUCUUUGAAUUAUUCUUUCUUGGGGUUUCAAGUACAAUCUUGGUCUUGCGACAUCCAGUUAAUUUGAUGCGAUUACAAUGCAUGCUGAUGAGAAUAAUGAGCCCAAACCCAUCACUUUUUGGUAUGUUAUUGGUAUUUUUGUGUAUUUAUUUUUUUCCGUAAUUUUGAUGGGCAUUCUCAUCUGUCUUUUAAUUCAACUGAUAUAUUUUUUUUUGUCAAUUUUUCAAAGUUGCAACUUUGUAAAAUUGGAAGCCAUAAAUUAAUUUUUCCAAUUGGGUUAUUGGUGUUAAACCCAAUUUCUAAGCCAUAACUAAUGCAAUUGAUAAGGUGUUGAGGUGUCUUCAAUCUGACGGAUUGUUAUGGGUUUAGGUAAAAGAUUUAAGAAUUUGGAGACUGAUACCUAAGCUUUAAUCAGGUUAUGGCAUUACUAGGAUAAAAGGUGGAGCGGCUUAAUUUGGUACAACAAGAAUUUUUAGAUAAUUCAUGAUUUCAUCAUAUAUUUGAUUAUUUUCUCUUUGAUCUCAAUUGUAUUUCUUAAUUAAUCUAUUUUGCUGAUGCAGUUUUUUCUGUUGAUCAAGCCUUUUCAACCACUUGCUUUGCUUUGUUUGUAUCUCUUUAGUUGAUUUGUUAUGACAAUGUUUCUGCUCAAAUUAUAAACAUGGUUUGAGUAGAUUUUCGGCUUUAAUUUGAAAAUACAUGCAUCAAACUUGCCACAUGGUUUUUGUCUCGAUAAAAAAGAAAUUUUUAUAUUUUGGUUAGAGUAAUGCUAAGAAGAUUAAAUUUUAUAAACUAAAUGAUAUGGAAGUUGAUGAUUGGAUUGUUGCUUAACGUGCUCAUUUUCUAUUAAUGACACAUCAUUAGUUUGCAAAUUUAGUCCAUAAAUUUAAUUCUCUAGCAUUACUCUUUUGGUUACUUUGCUGCUUCUAUGUGUUUCAUCGAAAACUACGAAGCUGUUAGACAGUCUUAACAAUAAUGCAUAUGCUUCUUAUCCCUGUAAUGGAUACUACCAAUCCCCCUGUGUUUAUGAUUUACAAUUACCAGGCUUGAUAAAGUGAAGGGUAGUCUGCCUAGUCGAGAAGAUGAAUUGGCCAAGGCCAUACAAAAGAAGAUUCCAAGGAAGAAUAUGACCGAAAGCAAACCAGUUAAAAAUGCAAGUAGUUCCAAGAAGACUUGCAUAUGCGCUCCCACGAAACACGCGGCCACCUUUAGGUGCCACAUCCAUCAAACAAGCUUAGUAGCACAAAAAACAAAUAGUCAGAUUUGAAAGCCAAGAAUGGUCAUCGUGAUGUGGUUGACAAACAGGCAAAACUAUCGAGAUUCGGCAGGGCUAACUCUGCAAAAACUUUCCAUGGAAACCUUCCUUUCACAAUGGCUGAGCAAGUGACUAAUUAGUGACGAAGUUUUGUUGUUCCUUCAGUAGUACUUUGUAAAUGACGAUGGUAGAAACGUUUUGCAAAUAGUCUUUCAUGCUUGUUUUUUCCUCUUCUUAUGAUUAGUUUGUAGAGUUUGAACUAAAUAGAAUAAUCUCAAAGGCUUCCACCAGAAAUGUUGUUAAGUUUGGUCGAGAACCUCUGCAUGGGAGAACAAUUAAAGUUUUCAUAAUCCUGUUCUCUAAUGACCAAAUGAACUAAGUAUAUGGUUUUGAAGAUGCCAUUGAGUGAGGGAAAUUGGCAGUUAAAGUCGGUGAUAAAGGACUUGGGGAAUAGGACCCUAUUUUUGGGUGAUUAUAUAUAGUCCUCCAUUUUUUUGUCCAAAAAAAUAUAUAGUCAUUCUCUGUUGGGCUCAGACUGCUCUGGAAGUCUGGAGACUGGAUGCGAAGCUAAUUGCAUAUGCUCUUUUCCAUACCUAUCUUACGACCGGAAUAAUGGACUCAGGAUAAAGAUGACAUUUUUAAUAUGAAAGGGGGUAAAAUGAGCAACCCUCUAAUGGGAUAACUCAACCGACUUUCUACGGGAUAUCUUGAUUCUAUGGCAGCUACCAGAAAAAGUUAUAAGAUUUAUUUUAUCACGUGAUAAAUGUUUAUUAGACAUAUAGUCACUUUUUGAACACAUAACAAACAUUUAAUGAAUAGGUGAUGUCACUAGAAUGAUGCAUUUGUUGCUAGAAGUUUCUCCCCUGACUAUGGGAUAUAGGACCUACCAAGACACCCUGGCUGCAUAAAUUUCUUUUCCUAUCCAAACCCAAAAAGGACUAGAAAAACCUAAAGAUCAUCUCCAACCCAAAAGCUAAUAUUUGCGACCCCCAAACAACAUUUGUCACGUUAGAGAUCUAGCUAGAAAAUUUUGAGGAGCAUACAUGUUCAGUCCUUAUAGUAUACUUGUAGUACAAUGAAAACUAUUCAAUGUACUUAACCCCAUGUGCUUCUGUAUUGCGUUUUUGUGUACAAUAAGUAUAGCACACAUAAGAAAUUCAUAUUCAGAGAGAGAAACACAAUUGGAAGCACGGUUUUUUACACAAGGGAAAGAUAUUUCAUUCCACUCGUCCUAAAAUCGUCAACUAUAGUUGAUAUAAAAAAAAGGGAUUCCUUAACAGUUUUUGACUAAAAUCUGAAUGGUAGUAAAAGUUUGAUCAAAGUCUCUUGACUUUGUACACCUCAUUAUAUUACAAUUAAUAUUUAUAUUUUUAUAGUUUUGACAUUAAUUGUUUGAUAUUUUAUGAGAUUUAUAAUCCUAUAAAUUUAAAAUCCCUCAUUAUAAUACUAUUAGAAACAGUUACAAUAAAAAAAUUCAAACAUUUUGAUUGAAUAAAUGGAUAAAAACUAUGUAAAAAUAAGAAAUAAUAAAUGGCAAAAGAAUGUAUCCAUAGUGUUAAAAAAAUUGGUACAUUUCACAUAUAACAAAGUGGUACAUUAAUAAAAAAGAAUGGGUACAUUAUAAAUAAAUUAGGGUACAUAUAAAAGAUUAAAAAAUUAUGAGUAUCAAUGAAUUUUUAAAAAAUAUAGGCGCUAAAAGAAAUUAAUACAUGGGUACAAAAUAAAACUAAAAGGAAAAUACUACAAAUUUAAAAAAAUGUUGCAAAUUAAAAGUGGGCACAAACUAAAAAUAUAAAUAUAUGAUACAAAGUUUAGGCAUAAAACAUAAAUAUACCAUAUGUAAUUUUUCUAUCAUUGAUUAAAUAUACAAUGUCAGAUGAUGGUUUACACAUGGGUACAAACACAAAUAAAACUUUAAAAAAUAUGGGCACAAAAAGAAGCUAAUAUAUGGGUACAAAUUAAAAAUGAAAAAAAAUGGUACAAAUUAAAAAUAGGUACAAACUAAAAAUAAAAAUAUAUGAUAAAAAUUUAGCCAUAAAUAUAAAUAUACUAAUUCUAACAUUUUUAACACUAAAGGAAUAUAUUUAAAAAUAAAAAUAUUUUAUUAUUCAAAUAAUUAAUGAUGUUAUUAAUACCCAAAGGCCUUGAUUAAAAAUUGAAAAUGAAUAGGAUUUUAAUCAAUGGAGUAGCAAAAAGAAGAAUGUGAACCUAAUUUCUCCUAAAAAAUAAUCAUCAACUAUAGUAUAAAAAAAUCAUCAACUAUAACAAUACAACGACAAAAAAACUAUUGGAAAGAUUUGACCAUGGUUAUGGCUAAAGUUGCAUAAUAUUUUCCUAAGAGUAAUGCUGGUAAACUAAAUUUGUAAACUAAAUGAUAUGUCACAAAUAAAAAAUAAACACGUUAAUCAACACUUAAGUAAUAAUCAAAUAGUUAACUUCCAUGUUAUUUAGUUUACAAAAUUUCGUCUACAAAUUUAAUCUCUCUAACAUUAUCCUUUGUCUAAUUCUACCGGUUACCAAUGAGCAACCCCCUCUCAUGAGUCAUGACAUUUGAGCCCAAACCUUACAUGUCUCAACAACAACGUAUGUAAUACUGAAUUACAUUUGAUAUCAGUAAUGUGAUGGAAGAAAAAGCAAAAGUAUGAUUCUCUCCCAUGCUAUUACUAUUCCCUCAUCUCACACUCUUUUUUUUUUUAUCUAUUUUCAAUAUAAAAAAAAUUAAAAACAAGAUGUAGAUGUGGCGUAAUCGCAACCGUUUAAAUAGGAGGGGAUGAAAGGAGAGAGAGAUUAGGAGGGGAGAGAAUCUUACUUUGGAAAAAAAAAAUCACAAGAUUAAUUUGAAGUUAAGACAAUCAGUAAUUACAUAAAACUAGUCCAUUGCAAUUACAUUUAUCAACACAUUCAAUUAAGAGUCAAAUAAUGUCCCUUCUAUGGCUAGACUUUGGCCUGGUUUGGUACUGAGGUGAUUCUAAAAAAAGCUGGUAUAAAAAAAAGCUUGGAGCUUUUUUGUGUUUGGUAAACAUUCAGCUUCAACUUUUUUCCACAGUUUUGGGUGAAAAAAAGCCAAAAACAAGAAGCUGCAAAACCCAGCUUUGAAAAACCGGUUUUUUUUCACAUCUAUUUUACAUAAAAGUUUACCAAACACUAUAAUACUGUUUUUUUUUUUUUCAAAAGCAUUUUUACAAAAAAAUUUACCAAACACUCUACAGCUUUAUUUCACAGCCGCUUAUUCUCACAACACAGCAGAAACAAUUUUUUUUCAAAGCACAACAAUACCAAACCAGCAUUUUGUCUUGCAUAACCUCAUGAGACUGGCAACACAUUCAAUCCCUCAAUUUGCCAAGUCGCAGGGAUGAACCUAUAUUGAGCCAUGACGCCAAAUCCAGAUGUUCCUCCGGAGAUUUCCUCGAUCAGGUCUUGCAUAAGUAUGCUGUUUCUGUUUCCAUUCCGAAACUCAAAGUGAUUGUUUGGUUUGUCUCUUUAUUUAAGGGAAGAGAGGAGGCAAUGACUUGGUCACCAUCAUCAAGUUGUCAUAGUACAAGAGUGUGGCAAGCAAACGAUCAUGGAAAUAGACGUUGAUGUCGUUCUUGUCAUUCGGGUUUGUGACUAUGAGCGUCAGCUCCCACUCAAUGGUUAACUCGAGCCUCGUCACUUUGAGCUGGGAAAUGGUAUGACUCCACUCUGACUUUCAAUCUUCUAGAGGUAGUUUGUAAUACCACAAGAUCAAGGCCAUUGCAUGCAAUAUCCUAGACAAUCGCCACGAAUCGUUGCGCUACAACCCCCUCUAAGGCCUCCUAAGGUACAAGUUCGUGGUUAAUAUUGAUUUGGACGGGUAGGGUUUUUUUAUUUUUUUUAACAAACGAUAUAUUAUCUAUAUUAAUAGGGCAGAUAAUUGAAUUAAACCUUACAAUAGGGUAGUAAUAUGGUUCAAAUUCAUCUUUGGUGAGAAUCGAACCUAAGACCUCUCACUUACAAAUGAAGAGAAAUACUACUAGACCGUAGUAUUAAAUGGCAUGGGCAGGUGUUUGUUGGGUGUUCAUUCUCAUUAAUUAUUGAUUUGGAACCUAAUGGAUUGGGAUUGAGAAAAGAAAUAUAUGUCUAAAUUAUAAAUUAUUGCAUUUAGUGGGCUUAGUAUUUCCGGCAAUUUGCAAUGGCUUCUUUAUCUCUUUAUGUUUAGGACCCAAAAAAAACCAGUUCUUUAGAUGCAAUGCAACUAACCUUCCCUUUCAAACAAAUUGAAAUGACUGAAGUAUUUCUAUUUGGAAUCAUCGUAGGUCUAAUUCCUAUUACUUUGGCUAAAUCAUCUUAGGUCUAAUUCAUAUUACUUUGGCUGGAUUAUUCGUAAAUGCCUAUUUAAAAUACAAACUUGGUGAUUAGUUGGAUCUUUUUAAGUCGAUGCUGGAAAAGCUAUUGCAUCUAUCUUCUACUUAUCGAACCUAUUCUUGUUGUGAAAUAUGUCCAUUACUUGCCUUGCUAUUUGUCUAACAAUAGGUCACUUUUUAAUUUUAUUUUAUGGACCGAGUCUUUCUGUCAUGAUCAUUUACAGGUGAUUUCCUGAUAUAUUGCUACGCUUUCUUACGGAUCACUAAACGCGCAAGUUCAAUUCGGGAUCUUUGUGGUUGUGUUGACCCUAAAAACUACCAAAUUUACGUGCGCAUGCCGAGUAAUCUAUGAGCUAACUACGUCCUUUGGGUUGAAUGCAGGGCGUGCCAACUCAUCGGCUAAGGAGUAAAAUAUGUUGAUGUUGCGUUGGGUGCGCGACUGACUUCUACGUCUUGCGAUUGCGGCCGAAGAAGGAACACGUCUCGGCCUCCUGGAUUCUCAAACCUGAAGACAAGGCUAUUAUUCUUACGAAGUUCACAAAUCGUUGUUGUCAGAUUCGAUCACUGUGAUGGUUUUCGUCAGAGUAAACUCACGCCGAAUCGACACCAAAGUGUAAGGGCACAAAUACUCAAAGCGGAUAUAAGUCUUAACAGUAAACGUGGUUCGGCCGUCGAAGUGCCGAACUCUAAAUCCCACUUGAGAGUAUCCAAUCAUAAAAUAACUCGGCGUGCUAUGUGCCGAGCCCAAUAGACUGUAACAUCUCACUUCGUCGAGAAGGUUGAUGAGAUGACCUCGACCAACAAAGAUUCGAAAAUCCUUCUCGACCCAUACUUGGAUAGAUAACCAGUUGCCAUCGACGCAGUGCUGUCUAUGCCGACUGAAGAUGCUGCGAGAUCAGCUGGUUUUACGGCAACAGUGUUGUUUAUGCCAACUGAAGAUAUCACCGGUUGCCUUCACAGUGUUGUUUAUGCCAACUGAAAAUGUGUCGGCGAAAAAGAAAAGAAAAAAAUCUCAAGGUUGUUAAGAGAAUUUGCGCAGGGCAGUUGUGUGAUAAAUUGGAGGGGCUUUGAAUGAUGCACAACCUCCUCUAUUUAUAGCAUCAGGUCCUCUCUAGAUCGAGUUAAAACCCUACUCGGAUUAGGACUUCUUAUCCUAAUCAAACACUAUCUUGACCAGUCCUAUUUUCACUAUGACUUUGAACCCAGUCCUUUAUCAAGCUGCAUUCACUUCCUCAUUAUCAAUAUCUAUAUCUUGUCGAGACUCCUUAUUGUGCCAGGAUUCAAUUACUCGUCUCGCAGCACAACUUGGCCGACCUAGGUUGAGAAGCCCAUGAACUAGACGAUCCACAAUAACCUUUCGUAAGACCUUCCGGACCGAGAAUAAAACUCAGCCCAAACCAAUAUUUUGGGCCCAAACAGGUUGCUUAUGAGUUAUGACAGUGGCUAUUGCCUUUAUUUGGUAAAGCCACUUUUUACAAUCGUCCGCCCCUCCAGAGUGAGUUGAAAGCAUCAUAUAGAUGUCUCCUACCAUACUAUUGUUACCAUAACAACAAUGAGAUUCGGAGAUUUGAAGCCCAACACCAAUUCAUCCGAGUUCGUGACGUGCAUGGUUGUUCUGGUUUACUCAAGUAUAAUUAUGGGUGUUGUCGAGAGAGUUAUCGAUUGGCCUCUAUUUAUGUUGCAUUCCUUAGUGCAUUUUAUUAAGCAUCUGAAGUCUGAGCCACGUGCAUAUUUGAGGAAACCUAAUGCAUUACCCAAGAGAAAAUGAGGACAAUGAUAUUUUGUACUCUCACUAAUUAUUGUGUUAGCUUCUAUGUAUUUUUAUCUACUCACCUCAUCAAUUGUCGUUGUGGAAUAUUUUUAAAUUUCUCUUGGUACCAUUGGAGGAUUGGGUUUAUUUUCUGUACAUCUAUCUCAUGUUUUGUGGCUGUCUUAGAAGUUUAUAACUUCUCUUCCCUUUGUAUGUAAAACGCCUAUUGAUGAACGAGUGCAUUAAACAAUGAUCGCCCUGGCUAUGGAGAGAGCUAUUGCAAUGACAACAACACAAAGGGCUGAUCGCACGAGUUAUUAAAAGGACAAGAUCCCAAGGGUAUGUAUAUGCACAUAGAAAAGCAAGCAAAGUGCAUAAGCACAUUUAAGGCUGUUAAGCGUUGUUGUUGAAGCAGUUAGGAAAAUGGAAGCACAACUUAAAGAGAGAGACUGCCUAAUUGUUGAAAGAAGGACAGAAAGGCCCAAGUUGCAUCUGCAACUCUCCAGCUGUGUUGAGUUGCAGCUGCCACUUUAGUUGCUUGUAACUAGGACAAAUCAAUCAAUCUAUCUUGUAACUUACAUCUAGGGCUAGCUGUUUUAUCUGUUCUAGGGCCAGCUGUUUUAUCCGUUGGUUUCUUCAGCGGCAUGUUGCCCUAGUUUGUCCAAAGGCUUUCAGCACUAAUACAUAUAAAAAAGUUUAAGCAAGAUUUCAAUACUAAUACAACAAAAAGAGUAUAGUUAGAGUAAGAAAUUAUGGAUCUUAGUGUAUGGUAGAGUUUGAUUAGAGUUCCAAAUAAAAUUAAACGAAAACAUAUUUGUUUUAAAAUCACAUUUUAAAAUUUGAAGUUAUACGUGAAAUGCUCUUUAAAGAUGUUGAGGAGAGGUGGUAGAGGUGGCAGGGUCAUUAAAGCCUGGCAAGAUUUAAAAUUUAAUUGUAUGAGAAAAUAUCUUCUACCUUUAAGUUCCUUCCUCCACCCGUGGUGGACCACCGCUAAUGCAAUUGAUUGAAUAUUUGAUGCUUCCUAUGUAUAGAAGGAAAACUGUCAUUUGACUAUUUAAAUUAUUAUUCCAGUUAAGAUUGAUCUUCUUUACAGCUACCUUCACCUUCACGUGAUAAAGGCAGCAGAAACUGGCUAAUUUCUUGAUCAUUUUUUUUGGGAGAAAAGCGUUUUAUGUGAUGGGCAGCAGCAGGGGCAGAGGGUAGGAGGACUUUUAACGUUGUUUUGUCUUUUCUCAAUAAUAAAAAACAAAGAUAUCCAUAAUAAUUUUAACCCAUGUCAGCUACAUGCUAUAUCAUGUUUACACUUGAGCACGAUAUAAUUUUUGAGAAAGUCGUAAUUGUUUUGUGCUUAAUUUAAAAUUUUAAAUAAAAAUGAAGAUAAAUGAAGAACCGUUAAAUAGAAAAAUUUACAUACUAUAUGUAUUCAAAUUCAAUCAUAUCUUAAAGGAAUUAGCAACGAACCCUCCAUUUUAGAGAAGAAAAAAAAAAAAAAAAGAAGAGAAUGCUCCAUUUUGGUCGUACACAUUUGAUAUUUGAUUGUCCUUGGUGCUAUCACAUUAACUCAUAUUGCUAAAUCCUAGAAAAAGAAACGAUAAAAUAAACAAAAGAAACGAGAACAGAAACAAAAACAAAACUACUAAAACCAAAACACUAAUGCACACUUCGGGGAUUCGUACGCAGGACCUGGCAGCUGAGAACUUGCGAAGAGUCGCUAGCCAACACUUACAAACCCCACGUGUGUCAAAUCCUGGGAACAAUUGCAAUAUAAGCUGAACCAGCAGCUGCAUUUGUCAAAUGAAAAACCCGAGCACGCAUAGGAUUCCCUUUUCACUAGCCUCGAUCAUAGAGCCAAACGGCUCUCUUCUGUCCAGUCCUAUCCCCUUGUCAGACGGAGAGGGAUAAUAAUAUGAUUUGCAAACCCGAAGGCUCUCGUUCUCUCUAGAAAAAUGAGAGACGUCUCUCAUGGCUUUCAUUUCAAACCCAUCCAUCUAUGCUCUCUCUCUUCUGCAUGACUCUAAAAAAACGCAAGAGCUUUCUGUCUCGUUAAGCACAUUUUUCUCUCAUGUCCUCACCUCUCUUCACCCUCAGCCGCUCAACCACACAGCAGCACCAACCUUGCACCAUAAACCACACAACGAUACUCACUCUUCUCGGCAAGAGCCCCAAACCAACGCCUCUGUCAUGGAAAUGGUAGCACAUUUGAUGCUCAAAUUUUUCCACAAAAGGUAAUCUUCGUCCGUGUCCCCUUUUUUUUUGUUUUUUUUGUAGUCUCUGAGUAACUGGUUGAACACCAUGGUUCGGUGAUUGAUGCAUGUUGGUCUCAGGUCCGUGUAUAGUAUGAAUGUGCAAAUGUCCAUGACCUGAAAGCUCUGCAACGGCAAUGAAAAGGAACAACAACAAAGACUGCAGAUCCGGUUCCUGCAAAGGUAAAAAUCUGUUACUCCGUUCACGAUGGGUUCCAUUGCGUGAGACCGUUGCUUCAUUAUGCCUGCAUGUAAUUAGACUGGAGUGGUAUUUUGUGCAGAACACUCAGAUCCGUGACAGAUCUGAGAGAAAGAAAUCUCAACUGAAAAUCCACUGGACAGAAAGCAUGGCACAUCUUAAAAGUCGUGAUCUAUUGAUUCUGAAGGUAUAAACUCAGCCCUGCUUUGAUUUAAAUGUCAUGAUUAAUUUCAUCCAUGGAUCUGGGAAAAAUGUUAACAAAAACCAUAUAUAUAUGCGGGUUUGAACAUGAAUCGAACUAACAACAUACGGACUACCAUGUAUAUGAGGAAAGUGGACUUCAAAUGCGUGAGACUUAACGAAAACUAAAUGACCACAAAAAAAAUAUAUGGACCCUAAAACGUAAAGGACCCCAGAUCUGUUGAACAAAUAACAAAAUGAAUAAGACCUGCAGACCUAGAAUGAAUUUCACAAUGUUGUGUGUUUUAAGUGAUACAUAUAGCCUGGAUCAAAAAGUCAUAAUGUCCACAAUCUCUGUCUCCAUCUUCUACUCCUCAGGUACAUGGUAGAUGUGUUUAUUGUUUCUCGUUGAUCAUUUGCUUUCUUAAUGGUUCUGUUUUAGUCUAUCCUUUACUUUGUUAAUGUAUGGUUGGGAUGAUUGGUUUUAUGGGCUUUGGGUAAUUCUGGGUUUGCCAUAUGCAUUACUUCUAGAUGAUCAAAAUUAUGUAAUAGUUUAUUCAAACAUUUUUACUUUCUUAAAUGAUUUAUAUUAUGAACUCAAAGUUGGAUGCUCCCACCGAUUUACGAACUCAAGUUGUCUGAUCUUUUUCUCAUUUUUUGAGUUUGAUUGAAUAUGUUCUCUAUUUAUUUAUGAGCGUGUAAGUUAGAGACCCAACAUCCGUUCAUUACAAACUCAAAAACUCUUUUUUAUUUUUUAAUUUUUUUUAAUUUUGUAGUUAUCAAUUUUUUAAUUUUGUAAUUUUAAUUAAGUACAUAAAUCGGAAACUGUACAGAGGCAAGGCGGUAUGUGUCGGAAAGGGAUCCUCUCCGGAACCUUCCACCAAAUUCACCAGGUCCCCAAAUCCGGAUAUUUGAAAUUUGAUGCAACGGUUAUAGUUAUUAUAAUUUUAAAGUAGCCUUGUUUAUAGCUGUUGGGUUAAAUUUUAAGUGCUUGGAUUGGUGUACUUAGCGGCUUUGAUGAAAGGGAUCUGGAGAAGAUCCCUUUCCGUAUGUAUCGGCCAAAAAGGCUUUGAUUUCGCAGCCGCACCUCCACAUCCACCACACCAUGCAGGCGGUGGAGGCCGUCUAGUCGCCUAGGAAGGAAAAGCUUUAUUAAGUUCUACCAAAAAGAAACUACCCUUUAUUAAUUUCAACCAAAAAGAAACUACCCUUUUUCUAUCUUUUUGAGUUUAAUUGAAUAUUUUCUCAAUUUAUUUAUGGGUGUGUAAGUCAGAGACCCCCAGCACAAAAUUUCAUCCCUAAUUUAGGAACCCAGUUUUUUAAUUUUUUUAAUUUAUAGUUAAAUAUACAAUACUGGAUGUAAGGCACUGUGUGAGGGCGAAAAUGCUUUUGCUUGGCAGACACCUCCAGAUCCACCGCACCAUGCAGGUGGUAUAGGAAGCCCUAGGGAGGAAUAGCUUCAUUAUUUUCAACCGAAAAAGAGACGAACCUUUUCUUUUGGUGUUUGAGCAUUCUAGCUGUUCUUUCAUGAUGUGCUUGCUAGGCUUUUUAUGGAUAGGCGGUAAUCCAGCGGCCAAAGCUGAAGCCGAGUGUGGUGGUUGCUCCAGCUGUGGUAAUUCUGGCACGCUUCUCAGCAAUGUCAUUUCAAGAUCUCCAUUCACUGCUAUAGGUGCGCUUACAUUGUUGAACUGUUCAAUAUUUUAUUAUUAUUUGUAUAUCAAUAAAAGUUAUAAAUUUAUUUCAAAUAUAGCUAUAAAAACAUAACAACAUGAGAUUUAUAUGCAACAAAUUAAUUAAUUACUUCAUCUAACAAUUGAGAAAAAAAAACCAAGUGAGAAGUUGAGAUACGGGACGACAAGAAGCGGUCCGGUAAAUAGAUACACACAUUGAUAUCACUCCCUAUGUUAGUCAAACUUACUGCAGUAUUAAAAUGGGACACGAGUUUUUAUAGAGGUAAUUUAUUUUCAGUUGUUAUAAUUACAGUAAAAUGUAAAAACUGUGUAACAAACAUGAGUUAAUAACAUUUUUUUAAAAAUCCAAUUAUGUAUACCAUCGAAAAUUAUUGAUUAAUUUCUUAAUUUGGACGGGUUCCAAGAUAUAAGACUAUCUAUGAAUGACUAUGAACACAAUUGGAUAUGCAAAGAGCCUUACAAGUAUUAUCUUGAAUUAUUUUAAGUCACUCGUGUUGGGAAAGCAAUCUUCAGAUUGCUAUUGUUAUGAUAACAACGGUGAAAUAGAUUUCCUCUAUGAAGCCUUAGCAUCCUUUUCAAUACUCUCCUCAGUUCUAUUGAUUUAGGCCCGCCCUAAUAUCAAAUUUGCAUAACUUAUUGUAUUGUUUCUUGUCGUCCGAUAACUCAAUGUCUUACUCUUCUUUAUUCUCCAUUGUUGCAUAAAGUAAGUUGAGAGAUCAUUUCUCUAAUUAGGUUAAAGUUGAGUGAUCAUUUAUAGUUUUGUCAUUUAGUUUCCCAUAUUUGCCAUUUGAUUCUGAAUUUUCGUGCGUGUCACGUGACUCAUUUGAUGGAAGCCAUCGAUUGUCCCAAUGACACUGUACUCAAAUUCACAAGUUCAAUCUCAAUGAAUGUGAGCAUGUUUUCAUGAUUUUUUUAGCCAUACAGUAUGUUCAAAUUUUAACUUUUCUCUCGUUCAUAUUAGUUAGAAAAAUCAGUAUCGUUUAUUUUCUAAAGAGGUUAGUAGUUAAAAAUACAUGAAAAAUCUCUGAAGCUAAUGAAACUCAGUCAUACAAAUAAAAUGACUUAAAGUUGAUAGAUUAUUGUUUAGAAAUUCUAAGCCAUUGAAUUCUCGGCCACGAAACAAAACUUAUUAAUAAAAUUCAUAGCCACUAAACAAAACUAAUUGAUGAAUUGUUAGUCUCAACAAAACUAAUUAAUGAAUUCUUGGCUAGAAAAAAAAAUUAAUUGGCCACUAAAAAAACAGUGAUAUUGUUCUAAAGAAUUUAGUUGACAACUGCACUUUCUUGGUUAUCUGAUCUUGCCUCCCUCAUCAAAUCAAACACAAGAAAAAAAAAAUCCUAAAUGGUAAACGUAUUACAAAAAAAUUGUUGUAAACAACUUGAAGUGGAUGGAUGAUUUUGUUAAUUAGCGGUAUUUCAUUCCUGAAGAGAGUAAUGACGCUUAAGUGUUAUUAAGGCCUUGAAGCCGAUCUUGUAGUCGUCCUAUUGCAUUCUAAAUUUCAUUAGCAACAUUCUCUAGUUCUCUUUCGGAGUUUUUCACCAAUAAUCACUCCGUCUUCUCUCUCUGUAGUCAUUUCAUGAGGUUUCUCCAAUCUCAAAGUGGUUCUUGUAUGAUAUUAUUGUUCAGGUAAGUUUAGGCUGCAUAAAUAAUAAAAUUCACAAACCAAAAUAAUAAAAUUGACUUACAAACAAAAAUAGAUAACAUAAAAUAUAUGUGCUUAUAAAAUUAAUUAAUUACCUGAUCUUCUAGUGUUGUCACGAGCUAUUUAAGAAAUUGAUAUAGCGAGCCAUGCAAUGCGAUAAACACAUACAAUGAAGCGAAAACUUGAUCAUCAAGGAUGUGAAAGAAAAAUCGCGGUAGUCAACGGUCAUUACAAUGAUUAUAUUAAAGUAUCAUACAUCUAAAUUGUGGAACUUCUUACCCUCCAAUAUAGGUAUUAAUGAAAUAACUGAGCCUAUCAGCAAUAAAAGCAUCUGGAUUGUUGUAGAAACAAUCUGAAUAUAGCUAGUCCUAUGGUUGAAUCCUGUCCAUUGGGUUGCUUGAAAUAAAAGCCAACCAACGGCUGCAUUGAUGACAACUGUAGCCCUAGGUGCCAAAAGAAUUGUAAGUAGCAAUUUGAUCAACAUUGAAAUACCCAGGUUUGGGACUGUGAAAUUCAAAGAUUCGGCUAAGCUGUUGGAUCCCUAUGCGAUACUUUCCUCGUCGUUCAUCGUAUGUUUGCUAAUGAAUAGUUGAGAAUCUUGGGAUAAUCAAUUUUAUGAGCAUUAGGUUUUGCCAUAUGCACUACUUAACGAACACAAUUAUGUAAUUGUUUACUUAAAGUGGGUUACUUUCCUUAAAGAUUUAUAUUAUAAGCUCAAAGUUGGAUGCUUUUUUAUUUUAUUUUAGGAGUUUAAUUGUUCAAAUUGGACCCGAUAUAUUCUGUCCUAUUGUGAUGCACUUGUUAGAUAACCAAGAGGUGAUAUAUCUAACAAGUACAUCAUAAUAAAACAGAAUAUAUCAUUAUCCAAACAUGAAAAAACAAACUCCAAAAAUAAAUAAUAUUAAAAAAAAGCCAACUUUAAGCUCAUAAUAUAAAUCAUAAAGGAAAGUAAAAAACUUUGAAUAAACAAUUAUAUAAUUUUGUUGAUCUUUAAAUAGUGCAUAUGGCAAACCCAAAAUCACCCAAUCCUCAUCAAAUUGACCAUCCCAAGAUUCUCAACUAUUUAUUAGCAAGCUUUAUUUACUAAAACACAUCAACCAAGCAAAUGAUAACGAUGAGGAGAGUAUUGCAAAAGGAUCCGACGGUUUUGUCAAAUAUUUGAAAUUCACAUUCCCGAACAUGGGUAUUUCAAUGUUGAUCACAUCACUACUUACGAUUUUUUUUGCGUCUAGGGCUACAACUGCCAUCAAUGCAGCCAUUGAUUGACUUCUAUUUCAAGCAACUCAUGGACGGGGCUUAACCAUAAGACUAGCUAUAUUUAGAUUGUUUCUGCUAUUAUGUUGCUUUUAUUGCUGAUAGACUUAGUUAUUUCAUUAAUACUUAUAUUUGAGGGUAAGAAGUUCCACAAUUUAGAUGUGUGGUACUUUAAUAUAAUCAUUGUAAUGAUCGUUGGCUACGACGAUUUUUCUUUCACGUCCUCCAAAUGUCAAGUUUUCGCUUCAUUCGAAGUGUUCAUCACGUGCUUGCUUUAUCAAUUUCUUAAAUAGCUCAUGGCAACAUUGGAGGAUCAUGUAAUUAAAUUUAUGAGUGCUUAUAUUUCAUGUUUUCUAUUUUUGUUUGUGUUAAAUUUUAUUAUUUAUGCAGCUUAAACUCAACUGAGUAUUAUACAAGAAUCAAUUUGGGAUUGGAGAGCUCAUGAAAUGACGACAAGGAGAAAGACAGAGAGUGAUUAUUGGUGGAAAACUCCCAAAGGGAAUUAGAGAAUGUUGCUCAUGAAUUCAAAAUGGAAUAGAAUGACUACAAGAUUGGCUUCAAUUCUUCAAUAAUACUUGAGCAUUAUUUAUUCUCUUCUGGAAUUAAAUACCGUUAAUUAACGACAUUAUCCAUCCGCUCAAGUAGUGUACAACAAUUUAUUAUAAUACGUUUACCAUUAGGAAUUUAAUUUUUUUCUUCUUGUGUUUGAUUCAAUGAAGGAGGCAAGACCAGAGAACUAAGAAGAUACAGUUGUCAACUAAAUUCUCCAAAAUAAUCACUGUUUUUUGUUUAGUGGCCAAUUAGUUUUGUUUUUUAGUCAAUAAUUUGUUAAUUAGUUGCACACAAAUAAGUAGGGAGAAUAUAUAUGCACGCUUUAUGAACUCAACAAAGCUCUGACGUGUAGUUGGCAUGAUGUUUUACAAUCUGCAUGCCAUAUAUAUUUCCAAUAUUUAUAACACGAUUAAGGUCCAAAAGGUAGUUAACUAAACCAAAACAUGCGCCAGAAGGCAGGCAGUUACCGCAUUUUUCUUACGAUGCUCCAGUGUCACCUCUUCAACUGCAGCAGAGAGUUUUACAUUUAUUUUCUCAUUUCAUCAAUGGCUGCCAAACAAAGGCAAAUAUAAAUCAAUUUGUACAGGAACGGAGGCUAGAAAGAUGCAAUAGCAUUGUGUAUUCAAAAGAUAUCAUAGUGAAAAAGCUAUAAUUAAAAAGUUGCCCUUAAUUAAUUAAGGAGAGAAAAAAAAAGAAAAAAGAAGGGGAAGAGAACUCUAGAAGCUGCGGGAUGGCAGCAGGGGAGAUGGAGAAAAGAAAGUUGCGGGAAAGAAGAUAGAGGAGGGGAGAAGGGGUCGACUCUGAUUUCAGCGUUUCAAGGAGAACAUCUUCCACGGGAGGCUCAGCCGAUGGAAUGGGCGAUGAGGUUGCGAGUGGCUUUGUAAUUUGCGCAAGCUUUAAAGUAUUGCAGCAGUAAAGGGCAGGCAUUGUACCAUGAUCUGAAUGCUUAUAGAGUCCUCUUUGGUAAGGAUGCGAAUCCCAGACUCGGAUUCAUACUGUUAUCAAAUCAAAUCCCCAAAUCCAAACUCAAUUCGAUAAUUUUGUGAAUUUUUAUUUGUUUUAGAUUGGUUUGUUUCCUAAACCCUUUGUUUCCUCUAUAAUACCCACAUCUCAAAUUGUGAUUUUAUGUGAUUUUUGAUGGGUUUGGAAGUUGAUUUUUUUAACAAGAGUAUGAAUGGUACUAUAGUUUUCGUAGGGAAUAAAGGUCUAAUGAAAAUUCAUGUGGUGGUAUGGUAUUAUGGAAUUGAGUUGCAUUUUGUUAUUAUGGUAUUAUGGAUCUUGAGAUGCAUUUUGUUAUGAAAAAUAGUAUGUGAAUUUAAUGCCCAUGUUAUUGGGUAAAGGUUACAUCUUGCGUCUAGUUGGACUUUAAAAACAUAGCUCCCAUUUCUUACUUCCAAAAACUGAUGCGCAACUCAGACGAAAGCCAUACCCAACUGCUGGAAGUUCAGUAGCAUUUAUUGCUUCAGUAAUGUAUGCAAACUUGAAGCUCAAUCAUUCGUAUUCGUAAAAUCUUGCACAGUUUUAACAGAGGAACUGUUGUAUGUAUUAUGAUCAGUUCCUUCCCUGCAGCUGGCUGUCCGACCUGAUAUUGAAGAAUUCGCAUACAAAAACGUGAAUACAUCUACCAAUUCAAGUAAGUAUAUUUUUGACAACACUGAUUAUAUGUUUUGGGCUCCCUGGUGAAAUGAGCUCUUGCUGGCAGAUGUCAAAUUGAAGAAAGUUAUGAACUAUGAAGUACAUUCUGUUCCAGUGGAUGCAUUAUUAGAGAAAUUGGUUGCAAUUUGAAUUUGCACCGUUGCUAUAAAAUUUUAUUGCUUUGCCAGCACUCCUCAUGCUUUUAUCAUUUUAAAAUGAUACAUUGAGUGUUGUGCUUAUUGCAGGGUGCUAUUUUCUUUCUUGACCAUUUCAUUGCUUCUUUUGUUUGGGCUAAAGACAAGACUUAAUUGAUUGUGCUUGAUAUAUAAUAUGUUCAGGAAUUAAUUCUUAGCCUUAGGAAGUGUAUGUAUGAUUAGAAUGGUGAUAUCGUAUGCCCAGAAGGCUAUGAAUGAAUGUAUCAUGUAUUCUUUGUAAAUUUGUUCGGAUCUUAUGUUCUGAAACAUUGUUUAGAUGUUUCAUCUUAAUCAAAAUAAAUGAAGCCUCCGAGAAGCACUACGGGAAAUUAAGUGUAGUCUAGUAGAUCUACAUUGGUUAGAGAAUGACUAGAAUUUGGGUGAUAUGAUUAUCACCCUAAUUGCUUAUAUCAUUAUCAUUUGUAUAUGUGCAUUGGACUUAUAAAUAUGAUUUCUAUUGAAAUGUGAUUUUUCAUAUAUUUAGCCAAUGACAUGAUUAUUAAACAUGAUUUGGCUUAUGUAUGAUGAUUGUGAUAUAUAGGUGUUUAGUUAUCUUUUUAGUAAUGUGAAUGAUAUGUAAGAUAAAUGUUACGACAAUGUGAUCCUAGAAUCCUAUUAGAAGUAUGUUGUAACACUUAUAUGCUUGCGUAACAUAUUAGUUGGUGGCCAUGAGAAGUGAAUAUGGUAGGUGACUAUGUUGUGGUUAUAGAGAUGAUGAGGUUUAGAUAUACCUGGUACAUUCAAUAGGUACCAUAUACAUAUACAUUCAGUAGGUACCAUAUAGAUUCCGUUGAGUGAUGGUCCGGAAUCCUUUCUACUCUGCGAUUCCGUUGAGUGAUGGUCCAAAAUUGUAUCACUUUACUUGUUGGUUUCUUGGAUUUGCUAUCAGCUUCAAAAAUGUAGGCUUGGCUUAACUGUGUCACUCUAGCCUUAGUUAAUAUAAUUGUGAGCUUUAGAGAAUCUUGUGAAUUUAAUUAGAAAAGUUGUUGGACGUUUGGGUGACUCCUUCAGGAUUUUUUUAAUGAUUUGAUUAUGAUUUCAUAAGUAUGAAUUUAGAAGAUAUGGUUAUGGUUGUUAUUAUUUUGGGCAAAUGACUUAAUUAAUGUGGCUAGAGAAUGGUAUUGUGCUUCGUCGGUUCUUGAUAUGAUAUAUGUUGUGAAGUGCGGUAUCAUGUUGCAAUAUAAUGAAUUAAAUAAAAGAUGGAAGGAAAAUCAUGAUUUUCGGGUGGGUUUGUUAUGUAACCUUGAGUCUAGUAAUUUCUAUGCUUGUCAAGUUCUAUUGAUUGACUGAGAAAUGUUAUGCAUUUCGGCUUAAACGGACUGUGAUUUAUGUCGAGUUAUAGCGAAGAAGACAAACUACGAAUGACUUGAUCCCUAAUGAGGGUACGUAGGCAGUCUAACGAGGAGGUUAGAUGCAGCCAUAAAGUAUACGGAAAAUUAUUAUGCGAUUCGAUUCUUGAGUUGUGAUUUGCCAUAUUCCGGAGGCGGGGUAUGUUAGAGAUACGGGUAUUUGGUGACGUCAUGUGUCGAUCCUGGACAUAUGUCGGGAUCGAGGCGUGACAGUACUAGACUACAAAAUCAGAAUAUUAUUAAAUAAAUACGAAUGCCAAAACGGUUACAAAAUUUCAUGAGACUACAUUGUGACAUGCUUGUUCUAGAGUGAAUUACAUGCAUCCUAUUUAUAAUAAACUAAACCAUAAUCUCUAACAAAACUUAAUUCUAACAGGCUGAUCCCAAAUCCUAAACUUAUUAUUUUCCAACACAAACACCAUGCGAAAAGUGAUCCUGAUGAUGCACUCCUUACAUCAGAUGCCGCUUGAAUUAAUGCCAGGCAACGACCCUAUAAUGAUUACAAAGGAACAUCAACAGGCCAUGACAGUGGACGAAAGGAAAAAGAGAAUGAAGGGUUUAAGCAUGCAACUGUAAGCAAGGUUUCCCAAAUAAUCUGGAGCAUAAUACCACCCAGUUCAGAGCAACUGAGCAUGAUAGUAUUACAAUGUCGUGUUAUAACUUCAAGUUUUGAAUACAUUUAGAAUCAUCCAACGGUAAGAGAGAAUAUUUGAUGGAGGUGAAGGAGAAAUGGAUUUUAGAUGUCUACAGAGAGAGAGAAACAGAGAGAGAGAGAUACCAACGGCCUUUUGUUGCUGAUAGGUAGGCAUGCACGUCUGAUUCAAUAACUUUAAGCAAGGAGUAUGAUCCGAGCAUAUUUUUCUUUUCCAACCGACAAGGCAUUUUUAAGAACUGAUGCCUUGCAAGCUGAUUAACAAGAUGAUUUAUAAACUGUCAAGACAAUUGAAUAAGAAAAUGUUAGACCAGAAGAUCAGGAAUCUUUGUGAUACGAACUCAUUGCUCUUUCGAUUGAUAAUUAGACAAUUAGUAACUAACAAUACCGCUUUCUGCCGGUUAAUGUAAUAUUCUUGUCGCAUGACCUUUAAAGUCAUAAUCACCUACAAAUUGAUAAUUCAGAUCACAUUAGGUACAAACUUUUUGAGCCAUGCAAGGCAAAUAAUCUAAUGUUGUUUCAUCUUACAGUUGGUUUAGUUACUAAUAAUACCUUGCAAUAUGUAUGUGUCUUGGAGUUGAGCCAGGUCCCAACAAAGACCCGGAAUAGUCUGAGAAAGGAAUACACAGUACGUCAAACACUAUAACUCAAACUAAAUCAAGGAUAUGAAAGUGUUUUGAAGGCAGAAAUAAGCAUACAGAAAAAUCUUGUAAGAGUAUCAAUGUAUGCGCCACCCCCAAGAAAAACAAAUUAAAAGAGAAACCACAGAAGAUAAAUGAAAGUAUAAAUACAAGCAACAUGAUCGGGCAUAGCGCCGCUGGCUCUGCCUCUGGCUCUCUGGCGAGAUUUGGACUCAAGCUGAAGGUUUGUUAUAAAGGUAUCGGCAUAAAAUCGGAUUUUUCCGGGCGCUUCUGCGACCGGGUGGUCGAUUUGGGGUUUCUCCGAUCAACUAUGUUAACGGUGGGACUGAGAUUUCGACAAUUAAGAAGGGCCAGUCAACGGAAUGCUAUUAUCAUAAGGCAAAGAACUUUCAUUACUGAGAAAUAAGUUGGAGAUGGUUGGUUUGUUCAUAAACUAGCAAUUACUAAUCUCGUAUGGAAGUUGAUAUCUAUGGGUUGAAUUGGAAAUGUUGGCAUUGCAAUGCUGCGGCUUGUUCUUUUGUUGAAUGAGUAGGUUUCACUAGUUUGGUAUGCAGUUUGUUGUUCUUUUCAUCUUCUCUUGAUAUGUAAGUCAGAAUUGUUUAAGGAAAUUGUUAGUGCUGCAAAUAAUCAAGCCAAACAAGCAAUGGUUUUGCCCUUCCAGCCCAUUUCCCUUUGCUUUUAACUAUGCUAGUUACUAUGCAGAUAUACAUGAAGAUUUAUAUCAAAAGAAACCAAAAAAGGAAUUGGAAUGUGAUGUUUCAAUUCGUUUUCUUUAAAGUUGAAAUGUUUACUUAAAGCCUUUUUAGUUUAGGUUUAGGGUUUUCGUUGACAUAAUUAAUCAUGACUCCUGCCAUGGUGGCCAGACACAGAUGAGGCUGUGGGUGUGGACACAUAUUUAUGUUAUUAUCAGUAUGCCCGUUUGCUUUCUGCUUGGCUUCUUAGUAGAGAACUUGCAUCGCCUCUAUGCAUUCUAGUUACUUGUUUCAUCAUGUCUUGUAUGCGUACAUUAAGAGAGGGGGGCAGACGAUUCUCAACCACAAAAUAGUCAGUGCUCACUUUCAAAAACCACUGUAACUUCGUAUCAUUGUCUGGUAACAAAUCAUGCAUAUUAUACUGCAGCUGAUGCUCAACUUCAAGGUUGAAUUCAAAGUGUGUCCAUCCAUCUUGUUGGGCAAUCGGAAAUCUCUCAACUUAAAGCAGAAACCGCAUCUUCCUAGUCUACUUUCACCUGAAAACAACACACGGGCAAUGGUAUUGGGCACUACGUGCACAUCAGCAAUGUUAAAAGUUUGUCCCCGUACUAGCUGUAGAUUGCAAAUAUGGCUUACCAGUUCGAGAUGGCUCAGCAAAGCUCCACAUAAUAAAUUCUUGAGCUUGUUACAUUCAUCUACCAUGUGGCCCGAACUGAUCAAUUCCUCAAGUUGGCACCACAGACGCUGAAUUCCUGUGUAUGGAAACCAGACUCCAAGUGGUCUUUUACGCUUGAUUAUGUCAGCCGGCCUCUGUGGAAGAGAACAUGUUAAGUUAAACAACCAGCAGAGCAGAAAUCAACAUGAUAUAAGAAGGCAUACCGUCCCUACAAUACUAAUGACACGAAACUAAGAUACACUGCUUUUGCAUCAGUUCGUUUGUCCCAUAUUUCAUCUAAGGUACAUCAACAACUCGAGUAUUUUAUUUAACCUCCAUAUACAUGAAUAAUUAAUUCUAAUGUUCCAAAAAUUCCAGAAUUACGCACGAGAGGUACUUACAUUUUGAUUAAGGAGGCACUAUUACAUUAAAGAGGAAUGCUAUUCAGACUCGAUCAAAGUAGUCUAAAAAGGUUCUUCCUUACAUUCGUCACUUUGAUCAAAAUAGUCUAAAAGGGACAACAAUACAUAAAAUAAAAUAAAAAUAUCGCCAACUACUGUUUUUUGGAGAAAAAACGUCACCCCACUACCUCAUCAGUAGCCAUUCUACUACAUUUCUACCCCUCUAUGAAGCCCCGCCCAUCCCCCUAAUUCCAUGGCUCCCAUCAUUCCAACCCCAUUCCCUACUCCCUCAUCGCUCACACUUCCACCUUCAAACCAAACUCCACCAUAAACCCACCAUCUUAAGUCCAUAUGAAACUUUGAUAUUAAACCAAACUCCGCCAUAGAAAGCACAAAAUGGCAUGAACUUUUGUAAUGCAAAGUUAAUAUCAUGGGCAACCCUUAGCCAAAGCAGCAGAAGCUUAAGAUAGAAAAGAACAAGCUGCAAUUGCUGCAAUUUACCAUUGAUGCAAACAAUCCUAUGUACUCGAGCAAAAAAAUUGUAGCUUCUCUGUAUCGACCGUAAUCAACAUAUAGUUGGAAUAAUAAUGCUGGAUUUGAUCCUUGGCCGGUCAUGCCCCAAGUCUUGUCCUUUCUACCAUCCUGUCAAAACCCUAAGGCUUGGUUGUUGUUUGUACAGAAAAGGAUAAACUAAAUAACAUAGGAUAUCAGAUGCAUCAUUAACGAAGAAGGAUAAACUAAUAAGAUGGAGAGAGAGAGAGAGAGAGAGAGAGAGAGAGGAUUUGUUCAAUUACACAAAAAUAUAGAUGCUGUAAAACGUGGCUUCCUCUUUUAUUUACAAACCACCUAGAGAGUUACCUUGAACAUCUUUACCAGCCAAAGAGGCAAUUCAAUUUGAGGAUCCGUACGAAGAAGAGUUUCAGCAACAAUUAGUGGUAAACUGGCAUGGAACACUUUAUACUUGUCCUGCAUAUUUUGAAUACAUCAAAAGGGAAGGAUAAGAUGAAAUUGCUUAAAUGGAGCAAAGAGACAAAGGAUGGGGAGACGUAAAGAGUGAACAAAACUCAAGGUGGCUUGUAAAUUACGAGUAUACAUACUCCUGACUUCCUUAAACAUAUUUAUAAGAACAUACUUGACUAUGAAAAAGGUAGAAGCACCAGCAAAGGCUGCCUCACCUACAUUUGUGUUGAUAAAUUAUAAAGAGAAUGAAAUGAAUUCAUCAAAAUUUGAUAGCCUAAGAGAAUUUAAACAGAACUAUUAGAAUUAUAGGAAGAUAAAACACUUAAUUUAGGAAGCUAGAUCACUAAACACGGUAGGAACCAAAUAUUCUUAUAUAUCAGAAUCCUAAUUACAAUAAACUUCUAUUGACCUGGCCUAUUCCUAACCCAUUCCCCCAGCAACACUCACUCCAGACAUGGGGCAACCCAAAAGCUCAGUUAAAAUAUAGUUCGAUGUAGUCUAUCAUCAAUAAAUUACUUGUUUUAAAAUUAAAAAAAAAAAAUAUUGCAUACUUGUGGUUUUAUUUUUUUUCAGUGAACAGCAUAUAUACUUGCAUUGAACAAAUUUAAAACAAAAAGAUAAUAUCUGAGGCACUUGACCAGAUUCAGCAUAGGAUUAUAGUAAAGGAUUAUGAACAUAAAUAGGCACUUAAUUCUUCGAGAUAUUCAUACGAAACAGAGCCAUUCAAAAUAAUUUUGUAGUAUUCAAAUAUUCAGGCAAAGCUUCCAUAUAUGCCAGCUUCCUUAGUUGAAUAAAACCUCAACAGUACUUUCAAACAAUUUAUUUCCUGUUCCUUCUCAUUUGAAACCUUAAGAGAAAUAAUAACACUAGGCUGUCUAAAAUUAAAUAUGGGCGGUACUAAUUAUCUCUUAAAACCCUCCAAAAUCCUAAAUCUAGAGACUAUUUUUUUCUUAUUCAAUAAUGUAAACAUGGAAUCUAUUCCUUCUUCCAUAAAUCAUAUUUAAAAUGUUUCCUUCUAAUAUUUGAUAAAAGCACAUAGAUGUUUAAGAAGCUCAAAAAGAUUGACGACACCGAAUAUACAUACAAGGUAAAGCUCAAGAGUUCCCCAGUGACUGAUUCCCUUAAAUUGUUCAUUUGUAGAACCCACAUCAGGUGAACCAUGAACAGCCACAUCAGCCAUUGAUGAAGUCAACAGAAGACCACGUGAUCUGUGUUCAUUCCUGAAAAAUAUCACAUAAUUCAGAUUCAGUUACAAAGAAAUUACUACAAGAUCAGGAUCGUACACUUUUUAAAGUAUUUAAGCCAAAUGCAGGAAAAUAUUUAUCUUACCUAACCCAUGAAGAAUCAACUCUAUGUGAACAGCAUCUCAGUGACAUGGCAGAGAAAACUCGUUCCAUUCCCCUGAACAAAGACAGCUCCAGGUUUUAUGCAUUACAAAGGAAACACUAUGGAGAUAAUAUUAUAAUAUAGACCUAUACCUCUUCAACUCUGAACCUUUUAAGAAUCUUAGAAGAACUGUAAAUGCCAUAUCAUAUAAAUUUGUCUGCAUAAGGAGAUCAACAACCUCUAGUGGUGCUUUCUGGGUUCCUGAAACAAAUCACGGAUAUGCCAACAAUAAAAAUAAACACGGAAAAGAAAAGGGAUAAAGGGUGAAGAGCAGAAAACAAAAUCAAACACUUCCAACAAUUCUUCCAAUCCAACCAUGAGACAAACAUGGGACGGCCUGGAUAUAGCGAGUCCAAAUCUUCUGCACCUAAAAAUCCCUGCGGCCUUUCUGUGCCUUUGUUAAUUUGGUUUAUUUUUUAUUAUUUUAAUUAUUAUCAAAUUAACAUUAAUUAUGUUUGGUUCAAUUAACAAAGGCACAGAGAGGCCACAUGGGUUUUUGGGUGCAGAAGAUUUGGACUCGGAUAUAGUGGGAUACAUUGACCUUCUCACGAAAAAAGAAAAAAAAAAGUUGAUUAAUAUAAAGGAGUAAAUUGUACAAAUGGUCCCUCAACUUUAAUCAAAUUGGAGCAAUGGUCCCUCAACUAAAAAUCCAUUACCUUUGGUCCCUCAACUUAUCAAAACGUGCAGCUAUGGUCCCUCAACUAAAAAUCCAUUACCAUUGGUCCCUGAACUUUAAUUCAAGUGGAGAAAUGAUCCUUUAACUUUAACCCAAUUGUAGCAAUGGUCAUUCCAAUAUAACUCGUUUUGACAAAUUUUUGACAUAGUUGAUGAAAAGAACCAUAAUUAUACACUUUGAUGAGUUAAGGGAUCCUAAUUAUAUAAAUGGUCAUUCCAACAUAGCUUAUUUUGACAAAAUUUUGACAAAAUUGAUGAAAAUGACUAUAGCUACACAUUUUGAUAAGUUGAGGGACCAAUGGUAAUGGAUUUUUAGUUGAGGGACCAUUGCUCCAAUUUGAUUAAAGUUGAGGGACCAUUUGUACAAUUUACUCUAAUAUAAAGGGUUUGUGAGAGGUGUUUAAAGGCGAAGUGUUACAAAUAUUCAAGAAAAAAAUGUCAUAAGUAACUUUUGGAAACAAGAGUGAAACAUUGGAAUUUGGAUGCAAAUAAAUGGCAAAGAAAAGAAAAUUCAUGAUUGCUUCUGAAUGUGUCAUGAAUAGAAUGUGACCACUACUGACAAUGGCAAGGAAUAAAGGCCAAUUGACUCCCACUGAACCUUCACCCUUAGUGAAACACAAUUAACAAUUACUGAAGAGACUUAGUGCGUAUGCACAUCAUUUUACAAAACAAUAUUUCCAUGCACAUUAGAAUUAACUUAAACUUAAAAAAUUAAAAUAUCAAGAUAACAACAAAUUCUGGCUAAAUGUGACUGUUACAAAUUUAAAUACAAAGCCUUGAGAUAACUAAUUAAUAUUUUCCAGAUUAAGGUAGCUAACUUAUCCCUAAAUUUCAUAUUUUCAACACGAACAUCGUCAAUUAGUAUAAUCCUUGGGAAGGAAUAUAUAUAUAUAUAAUUUUUUUUUUUGAAACUAGUGUAUCCGAGUCUUUGACCCAACUAACUAGGUCCCCUGCCUGAUCCCACAACAUUUGAGGAGCGAGAAACUCUAGCAUUUGCUAGGUGGGUACUGUGGGAGAGAGUCGAACCCCAGACCAGUUGGGAGCAAACCAAGGACCUGAUUGCUAGACCAACAACUCUUUAGGUAUAAUCCUUGGGAAUACCACACAAAAAAUUGGAAUUAUGUCAAGGGUUGCUAACCAAUGUUAAUUUAUUGGGAAAUCUAACACAAACAAAUUAAGUUAAAAUAGCACUUUACCACUAGAUGCAGGUUUGAUAUGUGCCAACGAAAGCAAAUAUUCUGCUGAAGUAAGCAUAAACUCGUCCUCAAUCUUCUCAAUAUCAAUAUAAGAUUUCCCUGUUUGAGGAUAAGCAUUGUUGCUGGCAGCUGCAAUAAAAAUAAAAUUUGUGACUGCCUCAAAACAGAACAGUAUAUAAUGCAAAUGUGGACAAAGCAAAUAUUAUAUUAGACAGUUCUAAAUGAGGUAUAUAUAAAUGUAAUUGAAUGUAUAUGGGAUUUCAAAAUCAUCCAGAAAAUUACAUAAUGGGAUUUCAAAAUCAGCCUGUAUGUAUGUGCGUUCAUUGCUUUUAAAAAAAUUGUUGGUCUGAAAGAAAAUUUUCACAUAGGUAGGUAGCAGGUAAAAGUUAUGGGCAUUCAAUCUAUCAGAUACAUAUGGUAGUCGUGACUCGUGACAACAAUUAAAGAUGUAGACACAAUUAAAACAAACUUUUGGUUGUUGCAUUAUUUGCUCUGUUCAUCUAUUGUAAUUCUAGCCUUUUCACUUGGAUAGUGCUCGUUUUGAAGAAGAGAAUUACUCCAGAGUAGAGGAUCAAUCCAAGCGUUGGCCGGAUGAACAAGAUGAAGUGCAUUGAUAGCAGCAGAGAGCCAAUUCAGAAUCUCCUUUAGUGCCAAUGACGUGUGCUGGUAAUCUCUCAGAGCUGUUUCUUUUCUCAAACGAGCAGAAUAUAGGUACAUGUAGCAUGCUGCUCUUCUCCAGUUAUGUUGAUGCAUUUCAAAUGCAUAAAGCAACUUAUAUAAGUCUGGCUUUGCUAAUAUACCUGAACAAUCUGCCUGCAUGUUUAAGAUAGAGGAAAAUCACCAGGACAUAAAAAUUGAAAAUUUGAAAUACAGUAUCCAAUCGGCCCUACAUUUAGAUCAUACCUUCCUGGCAAGCUCGUACUCUACCUUCUUUGUAAGACCAACAAAAGGUAGCUUACCACCACAAAGAAUCUGCAACAAAUGACGAUGAAAGAAAUCUAGUAAUAAAAAAACCUUCAUCGGAGAAUAGGCCUCACUAGGACAAUCCCACACAGAAUAACUGAAAUAAGUUCCAUACAGGAAACAUAAUAUUCAAAUAUUUUGCUAAAAAAGUCUAUAAAGAAGUACCUAAUCAGUAGAAAUCACUGAAGCUAAGAAAAAAAGGGUACUGACAUAAAAUCAAUACAUUAUCGACAAUAUAGAUGGAAUGAACAUCAUGCAAAGAGAAUUUCUUGUGGGUAUAUACUUUGGAACUUAAUAAAGACAAAAACUGGAAAGGAAUGUCAAAAGCAAACAAAAGUUAGUUUCAAGUUUGAAUAAAAACCUUUAUGGCACCACGCUCGUAAAGAACAAUUAUCAGACGCCUCAAGCAGAUGUACUUGCUCUCCUCAUCUGGGUUUGAAAUUACUGCAGAAUAUGCAUCACAAUAGAGAUUAUGAUCUAAAGUAAACUUGAAGACAUUUGCCCAAAGUCGUCCUUUGAUGGUAGAUACUGACUCAUUGACCGAGUCUUGUCCAUUCAGCUCAUCUUUAACACUAGCUUCCUCUACCUCCUCAAGCGCAGCGAGAGCAAACUGACAAGCGCCUUCGCUAAUAUUAUAUUGCUCAAAGAUCUGCAUAGCCCAUUGGUAAUAAUGCAGUCUCCAUGAGGAAGCUGAUAUAUCACCAGCUAAAAGGAAAGGUAAAAUGAAAGAGUUAAUAAAAACAGAAAAGCAAAAGGCACAAUCAACCGUUUAAGAUAUAAAAGUCAAACAAACUCACUGAAACCAAGAUUUGGAGACCCCGGUUCCUGAAGCAAACUCCGUAAAGCCUGGGAUGUUCCUUUUCCAGACGAAGCUCUGAAUAGAAAAAUUAGAUAUCAAUUUUCACUAGGGAAAACAAUGAGCUAUUCCUAAGUGCAAAUGAUACAAUUAUGAGUGACAAUUAUGGGCAAUUCCCAAGUAUAAAUAUCAGUCUUCAAAAGAAUGCACAUCAUUCAUACUAAGCAUCUGGACACUACAUAAGCCAGAAGUGUACAAUGUAUUGUUCACUAAUAUUUGUAAUAAAGCUGUAAAGGUGAAUGCUAGUUUAUUCCAUAUUGGCCCAUUCAAAUACAGAGUAACAGAAUAGAGAAUGUGAAAGAAAAUUUUAAAUGCAAACACCAAGCAGCUGAGUGUAUCAUAUUAAAAAUUCUGACUCUUCGGUUGCGUGCGUUACAUCAAAAUCCAUCAAUUUAUUGGGUUCACUUUGUGCUUCAAAUCAACACAUUAAAUACUUGAGUAUUGGGGAGAUUUUUUUGCAUGAGUCUAUCAUAUGUGCCUCAUUCAGCACACGUAACAUGUAAUACUCAAUUACACAUUAUUCAAUACAACUUGUCUAUCGUAAAUCUUAAUUCAAGCUAUCCACUAGUUCAAUUAUAUUGGUACGAGCUGGUACUCCAACGAACUUUUUCUUGGUACAAUGGGAAUCUCCUUAGAAGAAUAAUUUUGAAAAAAUAGAAAUAUCUUCAGGAAAAAAGAGAUUAAAAAAAACUUAACUUGAAGUUAAAGUUGGAGAUAACUUUCUUCAAGAAGUCAGAUUCAAUGCCCUACAGGAGUUACCUAUACAGGAUAGCCGAUCAGCAAAAGAUUUAGAAGACAGAAUACCUGAAGAAACAACGAACAGCUUCAGUGACUUUCCUCUCUUUCAGCACUCCAUGCAACCCACGGCGUACCUGAGCAAGGAAGCAGCACCCUAAAAGAUGAUGAAGUAUGCACCAUCCUCCCUCUGUAUCUUGGAUACUAUAAGAUGUCUUCUCCUUUUGUAAAUGUGCCUCCACCAUAGUGAGUAGGUGCUUUAUAGAGUACAGAAAAGUAACAAUAAGUAAUCUCAAUGAAGUAAAAUUUAAGGGAUAUUAGGAAAACUGUAGGUAGAGAAACAACCUCAACCGCAUCAUACUGCCCAUGCCUUAGAAGGAUCAAAGCAAGAUCUGUUGCACGUUUGAGGAAGGUAAAGGAUUCUGCAGUGUGGCCCCAGAUGAUCCAGCUAACAAAGUCCCGCAUUGAAAUACUAAUGUCCUUCACGCCUGGUAUGCUUCUCAAGGCAAUACAGACCUGGUCUCCGGAGGAAGUUCGAAUGCUUGGUAAGAAUAAAAAAGCCAGAGUGAACUCACACUUUCCAAGCUUCUCAGUCCUUGAUCUUCUUCCCAUGUUUUCAUCUGAACCACGGACAGGGAUAUUCAUCAGAAAAUACUAUAUCAGCAAAAUUACAAACUAAGGCCCCAGACAAAGCAUAAUCCUACCAAUAUGUAACACUGAAAGCUGAGAGCUAAAAUCUUCAAUUUCAGCUGAUUCAGAUGGCGUGGUGGCACAGAAAUGUAUAAGAAGCCACUCAGAAAUGAUUUUUUCAAUCCUUGGAAUCAAGUCAAGUUGAAUUUUGGAUACAUCAUCAUGCAGCAUCUGGAUCUGCAUGCAGAUCCAAAGAAAUUUUGACAUAUUAAUUGAUUAAAUUCCAGGAAAAUGAAGACCCUUAUCAUGGAAUAAGGAGUUAUAUAAAAAUGAUAAAGACUGAAAAAGCAAAUGCUUUGGUAAAAAACGAAAGUACGUAUACUGUAAAGUUGUUGAAGUGCAUUGGAGUAGUUUCCUAUAAACUGAAAUUAAGACCAAGCAUGUGUAGAAACCAAUGAUAAGGGAUGUGAAUAAUGAAUAUUAAAGAUGCAGUGAAAUCAUGUAUUCGAUAUAUAGAACUAAAGAUGAAGGAUAUUAAUAUUAAAGCUGCAGUGGAAAGUAUGUACUUGAAAUUUAGAAUACAGCUCAAUAGCAGAAAAGAUCACGUACAAGGGUUUGUGAAAAAGUUAGAGCAGUGAAUCCAACCCAACUUUGUUAUUUAUUCGUUGUUUCCUUUAUAAGAACAAUGGGUGAUUUAGUUGAGUUGCGUGUUGUAUCUAAGUAAUAUAAAGUCCUGUUCAAGAAAGAAACCAAAUUCUCACUUCUAUUUUCCAUUAGUUCUGGAGGAGAAAACAAAAAUUUUAUUUACAUGCAUUUAUGAGUACAUAGCAAUAGAUUCCAUUCUAACAGAGUACAGAGCCAAUUUCUCAUAUUUUGAAUUAGGAAACAAGCAACUCCCUUUCUUCUGGUUUAUUACUAACUUGAUUUUGUAUAAAAGAUAACUUCAAGGCAUGAACUAAACAUUUAUUUAAUGGAAAAUUAGUUUUGGGGUUCUUUUGCUAAGAAACAUGUUAAGGAUCUAUAUUGAACAUUUUACAGGUUUACGUAUCUAAAGCGGGAGCCUUGUGCACUGGGUACGACCGACGUAUCUAAAGCUGGCAAGUGAGAAGCAAACUAACCAAUAGUCCAGAUUCAGAGUCCAGCAACAUAACAUGCUUACUUAUUAUGAUAAGUAACGUUUUGGUUUGAUAUACUCUGCUCUGUUUUUUGUAGUCUGGUUGCUGGACUUAUUUACCAAUGCAAUAGUGCUAUGUGUUAUUUCUUUUGCAUAAAACAAAAUCAGUCUUUUCAAAAUAAAUAAAUAAUUCACAAUAAUGCAUACAGCUGCAGAGACCCAAUACAUGCGACGUGCAAACAGGGAGCAGAGAUAUAAGCAUCAAAACAAAAUAAUCAAAAGCUUGUUUCGAUGACCAAAAAACAAUGAGAAACCUUGCUUCUUAAUAAAAGAAUUACAAAAAAUAUACAUAUAUAAUUGAUUUUGUUACACUGAAAACACUCAUAGGAGGUCUUGCUAACCAGAAGUGAAACCACAAAAUCAAAGUAAAACAAAUAAAAAUUAUAAAAAAUAAAAAGAAACUGACCUGCCCACUGAUGCUCACAACAUAGCUUAGAAACAGAAGAAUGUCAAAGGCAGACUCAUACAUAACCUUCGCAACUUGAGAAGUAGCCUGGACCAAAAUGGAAGCACUAAUAUCCAACGAUAUUUCAGCAUCAGAUUUUUGUAUAAUUUUCCGAGGUUUAAGAAUUUUUAGAUAAACCUCAAUCACUUUUAAAAUUCGACUCCAUGUGCCAGAUUCUUUGUGCAAGGCAUGAAGAGAUAGCAGCAUGCCAAUAGAAAAUUUCCUCAAUUUUUUUUUAUCAGCCAGGUUUCUCUCCAAAGCAACAUCAGGUCCAUGCUCUGAUACAUGAAGCAUUGCUACCGUUGAACCAUAUCCAGAUUCUAAAUUCUUCAAAAGGCGAUGAGUAAUUUCCUCAGCUGAGAUAACGAGUGGUGCACUAACUAAUGAUUCAUAAAAUAUAGCAGAAGCUGUUUUUCCCAAUUGUUGGCUGACAUUAACAACACAUCUAAGCAUUUUAACGAGCACCUCUAAUUGAAGAAUUAAACCCGCCUCCAUGGUAACAAGAUGGAUGAGAUCAUCAGAAGUACCUAUCAAAUAUGAAUGUGAGAAUGCCAAAAUAAAAGGGACAAGCAUUAAAAAUAAGAAAUAAUUCGUCCUAAAACAAAAAAAUGGAAAGGUUCAGCUAAAGCAACAAUACCUGAGAUACCAUUAAUAAGCCGCUCAAUAUUCUCCGAACAACGAAAAAGAGAUACUGAGUUCUUUCUGAUCAAUCCAAAAGUGCCCCUGUGGGAAUCCAAAAGCAAGCCACAUAGUGCAUUGCUCUUGCACCAAUUUUGGAAGUAGCGAGAACAGAAUUUUUUCCAACAGCAAAAUAUUGACGUUGAAUUAUCACUGACACCCUAAAACAAUAUACAACAUACAUUGGUUAUCUGUUAGCUAGCAACCCCAGGUCAUUCCUACCCCCUCCACGGUGUCAUAUGAGUGUGUGAGAGAGAAACAAUAAAAACUCCAACGCAAACCUCAUGUUCAAUCAGGGAAAGAAUUUCCUUCUUCAACAUAUCGGCGGUUAGAGAAUGGAAAUCUGAAUCACUCCAGUGCCUGUUAUAAUCCAGCAAGGUUGAGCGCAAAGCAAUAUUAUGAUGAACCCCAGGAAGAAGCAGCCUGCGUAAGAAAAUCGAGGAUACAACUGGUACAAUAUGAUCCUGCAGAAUUUUCACAAGCGAAACAUCAUAAGCAGCUUAUUUAAUAUAUAAUAGCUUCUAGACUGGCUAUAAUGAACAUCUUACAUAAAUUUGCAUUCUUGUUCAGUUUAUAAAUAUUUUCUACUAACGUUUAUACUCAACCCAUACACACAGUUAACCCACUAAUCCCAAAUAUUGGGUAUUAUAUAAACUAGCCUCCGUGCACGCGCUCACGCGCAUGUAGCAGAUAUUUUUUGAAUCACGACGCGUUAUGUCUGACUUACACGUUUUAAAUGUAUAUAUAUGUGUAAAUUGACAAAAGGAAAGUCAAAUAUUUGAAGUAAAUGAAUAGUCUUAGAUUAUGCUAGAAGAAACCCCUCAUAAACCAAUUAAAGCAACUGAAUUCACAUGAUAAAAUCGGUUUCUAUAAAAUUUACAUUAAGAAUAAAGAAAAUAAUAUUUAAUAAACAAUUGAUUGAAUCACAUUUUUGCUAGCCCAUUGUGAGGCUAAACCCACCCUCCCCCCUUAGUGUAGAUAAUAUCGUUUGUUAAAAAAAACAAACAUUUAACAACUAAUUUAAUCACAUUAUUAUCCGCGUGCGAAAGACUUUUUUUAUAACUGGCAUUACACGCCUCUUAAGAUGUUUUGAACGUUUUUAAAACAGAGAAAAUAAUAUUUAAUAAACAACUAAUUGAAUCACAUUGUUGCUAGCCUAUUGUGAGGCUAAACCCACCUCUCUCCCCCUUAGUAUAGAUAAUAUCGUUUGUUACAAAAAAAAAAACAAUAAUUUGACAACUAAUCUAAUCACAUUAUUAUCCGCGUGUGAAUGAUCGUUUCUAUAACCAGCAUUACACAUCUCUUAAGAUGUUUUGAGCAUGUUUAGAAAUAGAUAAAUUAAAUCAAAUUAUUGUUAGCCUAUUGUGAGGUACUAAUUAAAAAAAACCACAAAAUAAUUUAAUUAUUAAAAAAUACUAUUAAAAUGACGAAAAUGCUCAUACCUUAUUUGAUGCAUUAUUUUGGGAUGCUUUUGAAGUUUUUUGUUUUCGGGGCAUUUUUGUCCAAUUUUUUUUGUUGAAGCUUGGUGACACCAGAACACUAUUCACCUUUUCUUGUCUCUUUAUACGUAAUAGAUGUACACGAAUUCUUGUUCGAAGCUCUCUUACAUAAUUCUUGUUCAAGGUAAAGUGAACAUCCUUUCAAGAAAAGUACUAAAUAUUGAGAUACGAAGCGAAAUCUGAGCUUCAAGACUAAAGCUAAGCACCCACUCAGUAGACAUUGUGUAUAGAUUAGACUUAUCAUGUUAGUACUUGGAAUCCAGGUGGGGAAUUAUGUAAGGAUCCUUUAUUAAAAUUUGUGAUUUGAUAUGGGACCUUAUUGAUUGAAUAACAUAGUAAUUGUAGAUAUCAUGCAUCUUUGAUUUUAGGAUGGAUUAAGUAGAAUGAUUGCGGAAUGAUGUGGGAUAUGAUUGUUAUUAUUAUGAUUAGUCUCGUUGCUCAAAGUGGCUUGAGAAUAAUAUUGUACUUUGUUGGUUCUCGGAUAUGUUACAUGUGGUGGAUUAAGGUUUCAUGUUGAAAACAUAGUGAUUUAUAUGAUGGAGGAAGUGGAAAUGUUGUUUGUCAUAUUGGAUUGUUAUGUAGCCCUGAAUCUAGUACUUCCAUACUUGUCAAGUUCUAAUGAUUGAUUGAAGAAUGUUAUAUCUUUCGGCUUGAACGUACUGUGGUAAAUGUAGGGAAUGGUGAACUACGAAUGGCUUGAUCCCUAUUUAGGGUACGUAGGCAGUCUAACGAGGAAGUUAGAUGCAGCCAUAAAUUGUAUGAAAAAUGCUAUGCAAUUUGAAUAUUGAUCUAUGCUUUGUACAUAUCCCGGAGGCAGGGUAUGUUAGAUAUAUGGUUAUUUGAUGUCAUCACGUGUCGAUCCCGGACAUACGUCGGGAUCGGGGCGUGACAGGUACUUUGUUAGAAUUCGCGUCCGUUUGGCAUAAAAGUAUCAGAGCCCAGGUUUCGGCUUAGGCUUUGCUUGCCAAUCACUAUGAAGCCUUAUGUGUCGUCGGUGAAAGUUAAUAUAGAAAAGUUCGAUGACAGCAAUUUUGGUAUUUGGCAAUUGAAGAUGUGUGCUUUGUUAAUUCAACAAGGGCUUUUGAAAACACUAAAGGGUGUGAAGGCUUUGCCGAAUUCGUGGACUGAUGAGGAAAAGGAAGACGUUAUGGAGCGAGCACUUGGAGCAAUCAUGUUGACUUUAUCUAAUGAAGUCUUGCGUGAAGUUGGUAACGUCAAAUCUACACCAGAGUUGUGGAUCAAAUUGGAGAGCUUGUAGAUGACCAAAUCUCUUGCUAAACAGUUAUGUUUGAAGAAAAGUUUGCAUACUAUUCGUAUGGAUGAAGGUACGUCAAUUCAUAAGCAUGUUGAUGAAUUCAAUAAACUUAUGAUGGAUUUGAAAAGUGUGGACAACCAAAUUAGUGAUGAGGAUUAUGCAAUAACUUUGCUGUGUUCUUUAUCUCCUUCGUAUGAACACUUUGUCGAUACCAUGCUAUUUGGUAGAGAAAGUCUUAGUUUGGAAGAUGUUAAAGUCGCCUUGAAUUCUAAAGAGUUAAAGAAUAAAGUGUCUAACACACAAGAUAAAGCUUUGGUAGUUCAAGGAAAGAAUAAGGAAAUGGGCAAACUUGGAAAGAACACUUGUAGCUAUUGUUAUAAGAAGGGUCAUUGGAAAGUAGAUUGCCCUAAACUCAAGGGCAAAAAGAACUCAUUUGAUAAGUCUUUUGCUAGAGUUGAGUCAAACAUUGUAGAAGAUCGUUGUUCUGAACUCCUCUAAAGGUUAUGUGAAGAGUGGAGCUUGGUACUCAAGCUCUUUGGGUGGAGUGCAAUUCGCACUUUUUGUUCGUAUGUUCAAGCUAUUGCUUGGAUUUUGUUUCAUAUUUGCUAGUUUAUGUAAUGGAAUUUGUUGGAGAAGGCAUUGGAGGAAAUUUCAAGUUUGAAGACUUUUGGAUUUUUUUUAUUCUAGGUGGAGAUCAAUUUUGAAAGAAUUUGGUGCACGUUUGCGUUUGUAUUUUGGUAUCCCAGAUUUGAAGUUUGUAUUUGAUUUGCAAGUUUGCUAAUUUCUCGCCAAGGUGGAGAUUGUUGGGUUUUACAGCUCAUAAUUAGGAUGAUGGAAAAAAUUAGAUUAGUGUCGAAAGAAUUUGGUGCACGUUUGCGUUUUUAUUUUGGUAUCCCAGAUUUGAAGUUUGUAUUUGAUUUGGAAGUUUGUUAAUUUCUCGCCGAGAUAGAGAUUGUUGGGUUUUACAGCUCAAAAUUAGGAUGAUGCAAAAAAUUAGGCUUGUGUUCCCUAUUUGGUUUUGGUGUCCUUUUUGGGUUUGGAUUUUGACUUCUUAGUUGGUUUCCUUGGUGGAGAGAUUUUGUUAAUUACCUAUUUGAUUAGGAUUUAGAUUUCCUUCCUAUUAGGAUUUUUAUUGUAACCUAAGUCCUAUGCACUAUAAAUCGGACCUUAGGGUUAGUGUAUUUUGUGUGGCUCAUUCGUGUGGUAAUUUUGUGAGAGUCAAUUUGUGAGUUUGUGAGUUAGAGAGCAAUUUGGGAGAAUCUUCUCCGUUAGUUUGAGUUCUCUACUCGUUUGGUUUAGGGUUUGUAAUUUGUGGGAUUUGGGUUGUGAGAGUUUAAACACUCUUUUGUAAUCUCCGUUUGUUUAGUGAAAUUCAUCGCAUGCUUCGCCCGAAAACGUAGGCUUUACGCCGAACCACGUAAAUUUCUUGUGUUAGUUUGAAAUUGUUUGUUUUAGCUUUCACCUAUGACGUUAAUAUUGGUACUUUGUUAGAAUCCGCUUCCGUUUGCACGUAAAAGUACAACACUGGUGGAAUUGAAUCCAUCCAAAUAAAAUUGUGACAGCAUUUCCAAUUGCAUUUCGUACAUGGCAGAAUAUUUUCUAGUUCUUUGUAAUAUUGUCAUACAGUAACCUGACAAUCCUUAAGAAAAAAAAAUGAAAAAAAGAAGCAUUGUCUAAUAACAAUAAAAUUUAACUGAUAUACCCAUCAUACCUUCGAAGAUGAGAAUACUGAAUGUGUAAUCAAAAGGAGGUCAUCGGAAGAAUGUUCAGAACUUUGAAACAAUUGAUCUGCAACAAAGUCCUCCUGCAAAGCGUAAGAGCAUGCAUCUUCCCUGGAGCUUUAGGGUUUAGGCAAAUGAAAGAAAAAAGAAGUUAAGUCAAUCAUAUACAUUGAAAAGAAAAGCAUUUACUGUUGACCAAAAAAGAUAUGGGUUGGAACUAUACAUCCCUACACCAGCAAGAGUUUAUAUUUAGAACAAAUAAAAUAAAACCUCAAACAAUAAUGUCAUGAAAAGAAAGGCACAUAAUGUGGAUGAAUAAAGUCAAGGGCAUCAGCUGUCCCUUCCAACUUCAUAAACUGAAAUCAGAACUAUUAUAUAGUAUUAGAUGGUAUGUACAUAUACUUAAAUACCUGCACGAAGUGCCACCGUCAUGAAACCAUCAGCUAAUUAGCUCAAACUAAUUAUGUGAUUAAGUUUAUUGCAGUUCUAAGAAUAGAGAACUCUCUUUCACAAGAUAAUAUCUUCCCAGUUCAUCUUUUCACUCCCCUAUAGGAAUUUAUAUACAAACAAUAUAGAGGCGUGCCCUAGCACAAAGGAAGCAUUCAAGAGAGGUCAAUGAAAGGGAGAAGAAAUACAAUGCCACGGAGUCAAAUAAAUAUUAACAGAAACGAAUUCACUUACGUCAUGACAUUCGUAAACAAGUUGUGAAGCACUAAUCCCUUUGUUGUCAAUAUGCAUAUCUUUUUAGACGUAAGUUUGACGUCAACCCAUCCAGCCUAUGAAAACCAAAUUAAUAGUAUAUAUAUUUGGUGUAACAAAUAUAACUUAGGAAAAAAAAGAGAAAGUAAGGCAGUGGGAUUGACCAAAAAAAAUUUGUGUACCUCCUCCAAAGGAAUAUUUUGUGCUGAAGAUUCCAGCAUUCUAACUGAUCCGUACUCCAAAUUACAACGGAAACUAUAUACACAGAUAGUAUUUGAGCAGAUUCCCUUCAAGAGCGGCCCAAAGAAUCCUUCAGUACAAUAGAAAAAAGAAGCAAACACAAUCCUAGGAUCGUGCCACUAAUUGUAUAUGGAAGAAACCUCAAGUCAUGCUACAGAAAAUAUUUCUAAACUUAUAACUGCAGACUAAGAAGCAUAUUUUUCUAUUAUUUUUUUUUAAUAGGAAACAUUAGUUAUUUUCUUCGUAAUUAGUUUUCUAUAGCUUUUUCAUAAAUUGCAAAAAGAGUCAAUGCCCCUAUAUCUUUCUUAUAUCUUUUUGGAAAAAUCCAAGCAUAGCAAGGGAAACUUUUACUCAAACCCAACUUUUAACUUCCAAGUUCAAAUCACUUAAACAGAUUACCUGGUUCUUACAUUUUCGUCGUUUACCCUUAACCAAGGGUCACAUAGAAAACUCUUAAAUAGCAAAAAUAAGUAGAAUUAUAUGCAUACACAAAUAGAUGACACCGAAAUUCAGAUUCAUAGCACUCGUUUCAAAUUACGUACUGAAGUUUGCCUGUACAAGAUUGCCAAAGGAAUCAUGUUUGAACGACUGCCAACUUGACCAAUCCAUAACCUUUCCAAUGUUGCUCCUGGAAUUAGAUUCUUUGUUAAGGAGAAAUAAUUAUAUGUUCUGCCAAAUCAGAGAACAAAAAGUUGGAUAAAAAAAACAUGUUUUUAUAUAUAGAUGAAAUAUUUUGUUAAAAAAAGAGGAAUUAUAUUUUCUGGUAAAUAAUGUGCAUACAUAAAACAACCAUGUCCUCAUCAGAGAAAUCUUCCGUCUCUGUCAAUAAAUUCUAGAUUUAGCAGAAAUGUUCCUCCUUGUCCUCUGGUGUUGUUUACUCUAUCUCUUGUUAUUAACUUUUUGUUUGUUACACCCGAAAAAAAAAAGAACAUCGCUCAAGUAAAUUUUCUAUAUACAAAUGGAAUUAGAUUAACUUUUAGAAGUUCAACCACCAAGAAUAAAGUAACACUCGGAAAUAUAUCCUAUAAAUAGAGAUUUUUGGUUGGGGAGUUUUUGUGUUAAUAUGUGGUAACUACUCAAGAUGGACAACAUAAAGUAGGUAGUAACAAUCACAAAGUGAAUAGGGAAAACCGAUACUUACCUGCCAGUGUCCAACUAUUCAUGUUUUUACUAAAGAUUCUGCUAUGACAUGCAAGAUCCCAUACUUGUAACAUCCCAUCAGAAUGAAGCACAAAUACAAGUGACUUUCCACGAAAGAUGCAUAUCACCAAGUCUUGCACAGCCGCUAUCCUCCUUUAUAGAAUGACAUUUCCAGGUGAUAGAGAAGAGUAAUUAACACAUAGCAAAAUGUAAAACUUUAUAGUUCAAGAAAGAAAACUAAAGCGAUCCAUUGUGUUUUUGAGUAAUCUUUUAGUCACUUAUCAGAAAAAUGAUGCACAACACAACUAACAUUAUAUACACAAUGUAACAAAAGAUCCUACUUCUAAUUCAAACAGGAGUGGACAAGGUAACCCAUAGUAUUACCGCUUCAUAGUUCAUUUAACCUACAACACUCCAAAUAUGAAAACAGUAAUAAACAGAUCAAAAAAUAAAAAAGAUGAUCACAUUUUGGCAUUUUCAAAAAUGGUUAAUUCAAUUUAUUCGUCUUUGGCAACAACCUGAGAUCCAAUUCUCAUAGACCAGAAGGAUCAUCAGCAAGUAAGACUCCACUAAUUGUUUAAAACAACUCGCUAACAAGUAGCAAAAAAGACAAAUAGGUAAGCAAACUAAAUGUUUUUUUCAUUUACAUUUUUCUGGUAAUGUAGUUAACAAGCACCUUGACAUUUGACCCCACAAACGACCAAAUCCGAAAUCAUCCAGCAGCUCCAGCGUAAAACCUAUGAGAAAGGAAGAAACAAAUUGGAAAUUGGGGUUUAGAAUAUGAACAAUUCUAAUACAUCACGACAUUGUCAGAAGGCAAAACCGGGGCUGAAGGAAAUCAUGCUUAAAAUAAUUGAAUGGUUACAAGGGCACAAAAUACAAGAAGCAAACGGCAAGAGGAGUUUUAUAAUACCCGGAGGAGUGGGAUCAAGUCUGCCCAGUUGGAAACCAGCAAGGGAUCCAUCAUCCCGCCCAACAACCAGGCACCCGGAUGAUGUUCCUGCAGCACUUGUUACUGGUACAGAGGGGUUCAUAUUAAACACCACAACCUCAUUCUCCCGGAAAACAGAGCGGGAUGCAUAAGUAGAGAUGGGUCCAAGUCUGAAAAGGUAAGCGACCCCCGAGACGGUCAAUGCAUAAACCAAGUAGGGGUGGCUCAUAGAACCCAUAUCAAUCUGCAAUGUACAUAUCAAUGUAUGAAUCACUGACUAAUUUUUACAAAUAAACAGUAAACCAAGGUAGAGUAGAGUAAGAAAUUAAGGAUACCUUAUUUAUACAAAUAGGAACAAGGGGAGAGAGGGCAUCUGGAAAAGUGAUUCGAAGUCCAACUUUGGGGAAGUCUUUGGUAAUACUGAGCUCAAAUAACUCAAGAUGAUGAGGAUGGUUGUUAUGAAUUCUCCUGUUACAAUAGCCAUAACAAAUGAACAAUAUAUAGUGAAAAUGCACAAAUUUUUGAAAUAGAUAUAGAUACAUCUAGAGAGAGAACCGUAUGAGAUGUAUACGACUGCUAGGGUCUCCAAUGCCGACGGAAGAGGCAAUAUCGUGGGUGAGAGGAAUGACACAAGUAGUAGUAGAAAUAUCAGCGGCAGGAGCAGGGAUCUCAAUCCAAUUCAAUGAAUCACUGCCGAUGAUUGGGACCUCCAUGCCUGCCAAUGCCGACCUACUUCCCAUCUUCUCGUAUCAAUAACCCCAAAACCCUAAAACCCUAUUUCGGAAAUUUCUCCAAAUCAAUAGAAAUUAAAGAGUUGGACUUCUCGGAAGAGGCCAAUUCAGGCGGCCCAGAAGCCCGACGAAGUAUAACGGGAUUUUAAGAUGGUGGUGGCGACUCAGCAGCAAAGGACGCCAUAGUGUAAAAGUGCAGCCAAGGUAGCAACACUGAUGCAGGUUUGCAGCCGGCAAACGUAGAAAACUAAUGCAGAGAUCUUUGUGGCAGUGAUAAUUUUCCAUUCCAUGGAUUAAGGUAUAAAUAUACAAGUAUAUCAAGUGAACAAAGAGUCCUAAAGGGAUUACAAAACUCCCAAGAUAAGCCGAUAAUAACAACAGAAAUAUUUAAACAGAAUUAUUCAACAACCUAAGAUAAGGUUGUUGAGGACUUGGAGGACUCUUCGCUAACACCCCCGCAAACUGUGCAUGGCAGGAUGUACGAGUUUGGACCGCAGCAAGGAAUGACGCGCUUUGAGCAGUCCUUUGUUAACAAGUCUGCAGGUUGAUCAACGGAGGGGAGAAACCGAACUUGGUGGCUGCCCAGCGCCACUCAUUCCCGUACAAAAUGGUAGUCUGGUUCGAUGUGACUUCUUCGAGCAUGGAACACAGGAUUGGCCGCCAUGUAUGUUGCGCUUAGGUUGUCACAAUGAAGAUAAACUGGCAAAUGGAUGAAGACGCGAAGUUCAUGAAACAAAUAGGUGAGCCAAGAUGUUUCUGCACAGGCAUGAGACAAAGCUCGAUACUUGGAUACGGCGCUUGACGGAGAGACGAUGGGCUGCUUUUUGGAACACCAAGAAACUUAAGUUGGUUCCAUGGUAAAUCAAAUAAUCGGUGGUGGAGCGACGGGUGUCAACACACCCGGCCCAGUCCGCGUUGAGUAUCAGGGCGUGUCAAUGUUAAAUAUUGUAAGCAACCCACUAACAUUCGGUAUUCUGUUGGAGAAGACAAGGGCACACCAUCAUGGGCAGACAACGUGAGUUUUGCAGCAACUGGAGUGGAACUUGGUUUGCAUUCUAGCAUAUUUGCCCUUUUUAAUAAAUCAUGGGCAUAUACCACUUGUGAAAGAUGCGUACCAGUAGCAUUGUUGUUGACCUGGAGACCCAAAAAAUAAUUUACGGGUCCUAACUCCUUAAAUUCGAAUUGAUGACCCAAUGCCGUGAUGAAGUGCUGCGAUAGUGAAGGAUUAUUGCCAGUCAAAACAAUAUCAUCAACAUAUAAUAGUAACCACAUACGGUAAGGCCCUCGGUGAUAAAUUAUGUAAUGGUUUACUCACACUUGUUUACUUAUGAAAACACAAAGUUGGAUGCUUUUAUGUAUUUUUCGAGUUUGAUUAUUUAUGUAACGACCCGUCCUCAAAAAUUAUGGUUUUUAUCAUUUUAAAAAGUGAAUUAACGAAAAUGCCCUUCGAGGCAAAUACGUUGACUUUUGUUGACCGCCUUGUCAUGUCACAUAAGAUCAGUUUUCUUGAUGUAUCCUCGUAGUACUCGUCGAUACAAACAUGUGGGUGCAAACAGAACGUAAUUUGAAGUUAUAACGAAUGAGUUAUUAACGAACUAAAUAGAGGGCAAAAUGGUCAUUUGACCAUCAUCUAGAAGGCUCCAGAAUUUCUAGAGCAGUGAGAUGAUGCCACAUGUGUGGCCAAGAUGGAAGGAUGUAUGGAUGAGAAAGAAGAGAAGAUGAGAGAAAUGAAGGGUGAUGCCCAAUCAGGAGAGGGGAGAGGGGAGAGGAGAGAGUGACUAAUCAGAGAGGAGAGAAAGGAGGGGAAAGGAGAGUGGAGAAGCACCGGAUCACCCUUGAUUACAUUCCACUAAAGGUGAUGAAUUAUGGAUUUACAUAUAUGAAUUAUAUGGCUUUCGAUUAUUUUUUAUAUUAUGGAUUCAUGAGCUGACACUUUGAUUUUGAUGAGCUCUGGAUUUGGUAUGAGAUUUUGAGGUAUGUUUUCGAUACUUAUCUAGUGGGUUAUCAUACAACCCAUCUACACAACACAAGUAUAUAGAUGUCAAUGGCCAUAGGACACAAUUGAGGAUAUUUGUGUUGAUGUGAUGUAUGAUAACCCACUAGAUAAGUAUAAAAAAACAUACCUCAAAAUCUCAUAUCAAAUCCAGAGCUCAUCAAAAUUGAAGUGUCAGCUCAUGAAUCCAUAAUAUAAAUAAUAAUCAAAAGCCAUAUAAUUCAUAUAUGUAAAUCCAUAAUUCAUCACCUUUAGUGGAAUGUAAUCAAGGGUGAUCCGAUGCUCCUCCACUAUCUCAUUUCCCCUCCUUUCUCUCCUCUAUGAUUGGUCUCUCUCCUCUCCCCUCUCCCGAUUCGUAAUCACCCCCUUCCUUUCUCUCCUCUUCUCUUCUUUCACAUUCGUACAUCUCUCUCAUCCUUCCAUCCUGACCACACACGUGCAAUCAUCUCACAGCUCUAGAAAUUCUCAAUUUUAGGCCGUCAGAUCAAAUGAAUAUAAGAAGAUCAAUAACAGAAUUAACAAGAGACGUGUGAGAAGUAAAAAAAUGUAUGUGUAUAUCACACCUCCCCCCCCCCCCCUUUAACAAUCCCAUUAUAUAAUCACAUGAGAAUUGACACUUUUCAAACCCUAACCCUCCUCUUGUUCUUCUUAUGUUGCUUGUUUGUUUUAUAGAGAUUAGAAAAAAUAGUUUGUGGGUGUGAGAAAAAUAGUUUAAGGGCCUAAUGGUCAUGGAUUUUUAGUUAAGGGAUCAUUGCUCAAAUUAGGUUAAAAUUGAGGAACCAUUGCCACAAUUUUCUCUAUGCUUUUAUCUUUCAUGCAAUUUUCGUCUUCGAUUUAGGUUGAUGCUUUUAUUCGUGGGGUAAAGAAUCCCAACUACUAUUUUUAGAUCUGAUCGAAACUAAUAAUCCCAACUACUGUUGUACUAUGAUUUCUCUCCCUCCCCCAUGAGGAGUGUGUUAUACACACCCUAUUUUACUUUUCACACCUCAGUUUUAAGCUGUCGGAUCGAAUGAAUCAAAGAAGAUCAAAUGACAGAAUUAACAAGAGUUGUGUGAGAAGUAAAAAGAGGUGUGCGGAUAUCACACCCCCCCUCACAAUCCCAUUAUAUAAUCACAUGGGAAAUGACACUUUUCAAACCCUAACCCUCCUCUUGUUCUUCUUCGGCUGCUUGUUUGUUUUAUAGAGAUAAGAGAAAAUAGUUUAUUUAAUAGAGAUAGAAGAAAACGAAUAUGGAAAACCUAAGUAUGCAAUCAUGCAAAACAAGUGUUACAACCCGUCUAUAAGUUACUUUAUUUUAUUUUCUGAAAAUUGUGAAAUGUCCAAAAAUACUUCUAGAGGAGAAAAUGGUGACUUUUGUUGACCAUUAAACUUGUGAGACUUAUGUUUUAGCACAUGUUCGUGGUACUCAUCGAUAUGACCGCAUGAGCGCAAGUGGAGAAGAAAUUAGAGCUAGAAUGAAGAUUUAAUGAAACACAAAUGUUAAGGGUAUUCUUGUAAUUCUAAAUUUAAAGAGUAAAACUAAUAAUAAUAAAAUUUUAAUUAAAGUAAAGCAAAGGGGAAAAAAAGAGGCAUCUGGAAGGGGGAGGAAGAGAGAAGCGAAAAAGGGGGGAGAUGGCGUUGGCCAAUGGAUGGGGGGGGGGUGGGGAUUACGAGGAAUCCCAUGGCCCCGAAACUAUGAAUAAAAAAAGGAAGAUUUUUCAAUGUGAUCGGUACAUGGGUGGUAUACCACGUGUAACUAAACAAAUGGUGGAAUAUGUGUGCUAAAAGGUUAAUAACUUAAAAAAUAAAAUUUCUCAUCAUUUCUAUUAAAACACGUGGUGUACCACUUGUAUUCCCGUCACAACUAAAAAUUUCUCCAGAAAAAGGGGGAGAGAGCAGAAAAAAGAAAAGGGGGACAAGGAUAGAAACCAUGAAUCUUUGAGAGAAGAAUAUAGAAGACACCAGGGGAAGCCAAAAGAAAAUAAGGAAUUAAAAUGUUUACUAGAAACUGAGAGAAAAGGUGUACAACCAUGUCGUUUGAAACAUAACAGAAAUGUGAUUGCUUUUGUCGACCGCAGCAUAGGUAACGAUUCCCAUCUCUCUUUACUCCUUCCAUAGCUGCUUUGUAUCAAUCUUUCGUAUUAUUUUCAAUUUUAUACUUUGGAUGUUGUAGUCAAAUAUCUUGUUCUAGGGUUUGGAUUAAAAGGUCAAGUCUUGUUAAUUGUUGAAUAUAAUUGAAAUCGAAGUUAUAAACAUGAAUUUUGAAAUGCGUGGAAGCAUUCUGAAAAUUUAAUUUGGAUUAUAAGAGUAUAGUUCUAAAUUGCAGGAAAUUUAUUAAUUCUUCACAGAAAUACUAUGUUUCUAGUAGCCUAUUUUGGGUCUUGAUCUCUAUGUCUUUAUGGAUUCCUUUUGAGCCAAUAUUACGUGGUUUAAAACUAGACAUGUCCAUGAUCAAUACUCAUCUGAUUUCACUUAAUUCCAUUGAGUAUUGAUAUGUCAAAAUCAUAUUCAAACUUGAGUCCUGAAGCUGCCGGACAGCAGCAAAUACUGGGUUUCCAGUUUCGGGACUCUAUUUUGUAACUUGCAUAACUUUCAACUUAGAACCCCGUUUUCUAAAAAUCUUUUAUGCUUUUGAAGUACACAAAACAAGCUUCGAAACCCAUGUAAGUUUGCAUCAACCGGUAUAGGUAUGAGUGUUCAAAAUCAGGUUAAUCUUGGUUGACUUAAACUGCUUUUAUGCAGCUUUUGUGGAGAAGAGGUUGCUGCUUUGCAAUGUUCUUUCUUCUCUAAAUUUUAAUUAUAAUUUACUUAUCGAUAUUGAGUUUAUUAAAUCACUUUAUAUGGUAUGUUGGUUAUGUAUUGGGUUUCAAAGAACCAUUUUCUGAUACAAUUAUAAGCUCAAUGACUUAAUGUAUUGGUGCACUUAUGCCUAUUGAAACAUAUAAUCACUUAUAGUCCAGAAUUAUUUCCAUUCAAACGUAUUGGCAGUGAUGAAGCUAUAUUAGGUCAACCAAAAUGGCAUUUGAAUUGGGGACUGUUAAAUUAGUAUUCCAAGUACUUUGACUAGGAUUAAAGUUCAUCUCAUGCAUUUAGUAAUGUCUUAUAUUGUGAAAAUGGAUUUGGCCAUGUUGGUGGAUCCUUGUAUUAGUAACUGAGAGCAAUGCUUAGGAAUCCAUGUAGAGGAAAUACAAAAGACAUUUUCGAAGUUUGAUUAUACUAAACUUCGUGGAAUGUUAUCUUAUUAUUUAUCUCAUUGGUUGAUUACUUGUGUACAUAAUUGGAUUACAUGUAUGGUAAUCGAAUUAAUGCUUUUGUUGGAUGUCUAUUGGUGUGAUUAUGGCUUGCUUUGGUAUGAGAUGGAAUUCUUAUCAGACUUUGUAAUAACGUGAGAUAUGUUAGGAAACUAUGAAUGGCUAGAUCAUGUCUUAGGGUACGUAGGUAGUCUAACACAGAGAUUAGAUGCAACCAUAUGAUAAAAGAAAAAUUACUACUAUUGACACAAUGAUUUGGGUGAAAGGGUAUGUAAUGACGUCACGUGUGGAUCCUAGACCUAUCUUGGGAUCGGGGUGUGACAAGAAGUAACUAUGAAUUACCACUUAUGUAAUGCCAAUUGGGAACUAAUGACAAAAUUAUAGCAACCAAAUCUAAACUUGUCUUAAGGUUGUCGGGAAAAUAGGAUCUAAUUGCUAUAUUAAAUC